CCCCCCCCCCCCCCACCCCCCCACACACACACAAACACUUCAACUGUUACAAGUAACAGUAAGCAGCAUCACCUUGUCACACUAGAAGCUUAUUGGGUAGCUCCUUUAAGUAUUAUAGCGAAUAGUUGCUGAACUUGUUCUCUAGCAAGGCCGUUGAAACUUGAUGAUUUAUCUUUUAUUUUUGCAAUUAUUGUCUUAAAUGUACUUUUCUUAAGUAAAACUAGAAAUUUGUCAUCUGUUAUUAUCAGCUUUAACUUAUGCAGUAUACAUGUAGAAGUGCAGGCUUCUCCCUCCCAUGUUCUUGGUCUGUUAUGGCAGUUAAUUUUUGUUGAUUAAUAAAGUGAAGUACGAUUGAUUGUUCAGAACAUGAGCUUGGUCUGAUUUCCUUCUCAACAAUAAGGUUGUUUUACGUUUUUUGUUUCUUUCCGUUUCAUUUCAGUAAAGCUUGAUUUGACUCUAAAACAGCAAUAUCCAUUUUGCUGAUGCGUUUUGCCCCUAGAAGUUUGUGCUACUGGAUUGGCUAAAGAAUUUGAGUGUUUACCUUUUACCUGUCUUAUAUUUUCAGGUUAUUAAAUUGUUUGAUAAAGGGCAAGUGAAGCUAGUAAAAUAUAACAGUCUAAUCAGCUUCAUGCAUUCAUGUCUAAUAGUGGAAUCCUCAGCUAAUUGUGGGCUAAACUUUAGAAAUCAAAUUGCUAUAAUGUUUUUCGAAUCCUCAAGUCAUUAUUAUGUCACUGCAGUGAUUUUUUUUUUUAAAAAAAAAUGAACAAAAAGAGUUCAACUAUUACAUAAAAUCAUGUAUAGAUGAAUUAUAGUAUGAGGUUAAUCUUUUUCUUUUUUUGAACUCUCAGAGAAAUUGACAUCUGUUAUACUUCUACUGUUAUUUUGUUUCGUACCAUCAUGAAAAUCGACAUUCAUUUGUUUGUUCAGCUCUAAACGGCACACCAUUCAAAUUGACAAAUACCUCAAUGAUAAGUUUGCAAAUUUCAAAACGAUAAUUCAAUUGGUGAGGUUAGUAUUUUUAUACAGUAAAAAAAAUCCAUGUUGAAUAAUGUAAAAAUCUUUCUUGUGAAAAGGACUAUAGGAAAUGACAAUCAACCAAUAGCAGUUCCUAGACAAGAAAGGCUCUUGACUUUAUGUGAAUAUGAAAGCCAAUAUAAUUAAUUUUUUGUUUGAAUUCUUCUUGCUCAAAAUGUCAUGCAAAAUGCGACUAAAUUAGUUUAAAAGUCACAUCAAUAGUUCUAAUUAGUGACAUUUGAUACUGGAAUAAACCCCCAAUAUGCUUUGUCAAAUAAUGUUCUUCAAAUUAAGGGAAAAGAAGAAAAUAACCAUUCCAAUUGUGGUAAGGGGUUAUGUGGUGUGUCCUUCUCUUUCCAUGCAUAAAUAAUGAGUAUGAUGAUCAAACAAUUUUGUCUGUAUCCUCCAAAGUCACCAUCCAUAAAAUUGUCUCCUUUUACUCUUUUUGUACUUUUGUCCUUUGGGAUGAAAAGACUACGUGAAAAAAAUUACUUAAUAAAUUUACGACCAUUUGAUUUGGAAAUUCUUCGAUCAGGUCGCAAACUAAUAUAUAAAUUGUUUUAGGUGAGCUUGUUGUGACUUGUGACAGACUAAGAAGGUGUUGAGAGAAAAUUGAUCCUUAAACUCCCUUAUGGAAUAACACAUAUUGCACCAAUUCAGUUAUCCUUACGGUUGUUGCUUACUUUUAGUAAAAAAAAAUAAUUAUUACAUCCUUAAAAAAAUGAAUUGUUAUUAAAUAUUACGAAAUGUUAUUCAAAUUAUCUAACCAAGAGUUGUUAAUUUUGGAAUUUUCAGCGUAUAAAUAAAGAUAUUUAGUUUUAAAAAGAUUACGGAUUAAUUUCCUAAAAAUAAAAAGAAAAUUAAUUACCCCUCAAAGGUUUUAUUUUAGAGUAAAUAAACCCAAAGGAUNNNNNNNNNNNNNNNNNNNNNNNNNNNNNNNNNNNNNNNNNNNNNNNNNNNNNNNNNNNNNNNNNNNNNNNNNNNNNNNNNNNNNNNNNNNNNNNNNNNNUUGCUGAACUUGUUCUCUAGCAAGGCCGUUGAAACUUUUUCUUUUUUGAAUUAUAGUAUGAGGUUAAUCUUUUUCUUUUUUGAACUCUCAGAGAAAUUUGACAUCUGUUAUACUUCUACUGUAAUUUUGUUUCGUACCAUCAUGAAAAUCGACAUUCAUUUGUUUGUUCAGCUAUAAACGGCACACCAUUCAAAUUGACAAAUACCUCAAUGAUAAGUUUGCAAAUUUCAAAACGAUAAUUCAAUUGGUGAGGUUAGUAUUUUAUACAAGUAAAAAAAAUCCAUGUUGAAUAAUGUAAAAAUCUUUCUUGUGAAAAGGACUACAGAAAAUGACAAUCAACCAAUAGCAGUUCCUAGACAAGAAAGGCUCUUCACUUUAUGUGAAUAUGAAAACCAAUAUAAUUAAUCUUUUGUUUGAAUUCUUCUUGCUCAAAAUGUCAUGCAAAAUGCGACUAAAUUAGUUUAAAAGUCACAUCAAUAGUUCUAAUUAGUGACAUUUGAUACUGGAAUAAACCCCCAAUAUGCUUUGUCAAAUAAUGUUCUUCAAAUUAAGGGAAAAGAAGAAAAUAACCAUUCCAAUUGUGGUAAGGGUAACAUGUGGUGGUGUCCUUCUCUUUCCAUGCAUAAAUAAUGAGUAUGAUGAUCAAACAAUUUUGUCUGUAUCCUCCAAAGUCACCAUCCAUAAAAUUGUCUCCUUUUACUCUUUUUGUACUUUUGUCCUUUGGGAUGAAAAGACUACGUGAAAAAAAUUACUUAAUAAAUUUACUACCAUUUGAUUUGGAAAUCCUUCGAUCAGGUCGCAAACUAAUAUAUAAAUUGUUUUAGGUGAGCCUGUUGUGACAAGCUUGACUAAGAAGGUGUUGAGAGAAAAUUGAUCCUUAAACUCCCUUAUGGAAUAACACAUAUUGCACCAAUUCAGUUAUUCUUACGAUUGUUGCUUACUUUUAGUAAAAAAAGAUAAUUAUUACAUCCUUAAAAAAAUGAAUUGUUAUUAAAUAUUAUGAAAUGUUAUUCAAAUUAUCUAACCAAGAGUUGUUAAUUUUGGAAUUUUCAGCAUAUAAAUAAAGAUAUUUAGUUUUAAAAAGAUUACGGAUUAAUUUCCUAAAAAUAAAAAGAAAAUUAAUUACUUCCAAAGGUUUUAUUUUAGAGUAAAUAAACCCAAAGGAUUAAUCUUGUACAAAUAGGUCAAAUCAUAUUCUCUCAUCUUAAAAACUUUUAUAAUAUUUUGAAUUUUCUUGUUUUCACUAUAAUAAUAAUAAUACUAUUUCCUAUUUCAUUCUUUAACAUUUUAAGCAAUUUAUUCAAAUGGUGAAAUCAAGAACCGUGUACUGAAUCAACUAACGGUCACGAUGAUCCGGUUUAUUUUUCGGCUCAUUAUUACACGUCAUUCGAAAAGACAGACCUUAUCGAAAACAAGAAGAGUUAAAAAGUCGAAAAUAACCCCCUUUCUUCAUUCUCCACGUUAGCUGUUACUAGUUGUACCUUACCUCCAGUACAGUCACGUAUCCUGCGCAUAAUAGCUGCAGUCAAUACACACACAGACUGAUAUAAGAAAUACAAUAAACCACUCAAGAAAGAAAGAGACUCACUCACACACAUUUGUUUCUCUGCCAUUUUUGGUAAUUGAAAGGCUUUCAUCAAUGGCAGUUGACUAGGGUUUUUCUGAACUUUUUCUUUAAUUUAUGCCAUUCAAUUGCAUUCAAAAGAAGUUACAAAAUCUCAAACUAUAGUUUUGCUUGUUUCUUUUUUUCCUGGAAAAUACACCGCGACAUUGUUCUUAUUCUUGGUUGUGUUGUAGAGAGAAAGAGAAAUCACGGUAAACCGACAGAACUCUGUUUCUUGCUUUCUUGUUUUUUCGUUUCUUUCAUAGUAGAGUGCUCUAUGAAACAGUGCAACUUUGGUAUUUACAGAAAUUUUAGUUGCAGUGAAAGUGGUGAUUCUUUUACUGCUUGUUGAUUAGACGAGAAUUCUUAAUCGGUGAGUCAUGAUUAGUUUGAUCAAUGUCAUUUGUUUUUUUACUUUUUAAAGAAAUUUCUUCUUUUUUUGUUUGAUUGGUUAAUGGUUAGCUGAAGUGUGUAGAGAUUUUCAUUUGAACUAUUUCACAUUUGUGUAUAAAAUUAUUAAGCUUGCUUCAAUGCUUGAUAAGUAUGGGCGGAUGAGUUUUACCAGGACAGAUGUUGUUAACUCAGUUUAGUUCUUGGUGUUUUCUUUAAAUCCUAGUUUGGAUCCUUAGAAGUCAGAAGAAAAGAAAAAAAAAAUCGGAAUCAUGGUUUCCGUGGUUUAGAUGAUUUGGGGGAAAAAAAUAGGGAAAGCGCCUCCUUGAACCAGUUCUGGAAAAUGAGCUUAUCUUGCCACACACACAAACACAACCCCCCCCCCCCCCCCACCCCCCCACACACACACAAACACUUCAACUGUUACAAGUAACAGUAAGCAGCAUCACCUUGUCACACUAGAAGCUUAUUGGGUAGCUCCUUUAAGUAUUAUAGCGAAUAGUUGCUGAACUUGUUCUCUAGCAAGGCCGUUGAAACUUGAUGAUUUAUCUUUUAUUUUUGCAAUUAUUGUCUUAAAUGUACUUUUCUUAAGUAAAACUAGAAAUUUGUCAUCUGUUAUUAUCAGCUUUAACUUAUGCAGUAUACAUGUAGAAGUGCAGGCUUCUCCCUCCCAUGUUCUUGGUCUGUUAUGGCAGUUAAUUUUUGUUGAUUAAUAAAGUGAAGUACGAUUGAUUGUUCAGAACAUGAGCUUGGUCUGAUUUCCUUCUCAACAAUAAGGUUGUUUUACGUUUUUUGUUUCUUUCCGUUUCAUUUCAGUAAAGCUUGAUUUGACUCUAAAACAGCAAUAUCCAUUUUGCUGAUGCGUUUUGCCCCUAGAAGUUUGUGCUACUGGAUUGGCUAAAGAAUUUGAGUGUUUACCUUUUACCUGUCUUAUAUUUUCAGGUUAUUAAAUUGUUUGAUAAAGGGCAAGUGAAGCUAGUAAAAUAUAACAGUCUAAUCAGCUUCAUGCAUUCAUGUCUAAUAGUGGAAUCCUCAGCUAAUUGUGGGCUAAACUUUAGAAAUCAAAUUGCUAUAAUGUUUUUCGAAUCCUCAAGUCAUUAUUAUGUCACUGCAGUGAUUUUUUUUUUUAAAAAAAAAUGAACAAAAAGAGUUCAACUAUUACAUAAAAUCAUGUAUAGAUGAAUUAUAGUAUGAGGUUAAUCUUUUUCUUUUUUGAACUCUCAGAGAAAUUGACAUCUGUUAUACUUCUACUGUUAUUUUGUUUCGUACCAUCAUGAAAAUCGACAUUCAUUUGUUUGUUCAGCUAUAAACGGCACACCAUUCAAAUUGACAAAUACCUCAAUGAUAAGUUUGCAAAUUUCAAAACGAUAAUUCAAUUGGUGAGGUUAGUAUUUUUAUACAAGUAAAAAAAAAUCCAUGUUGAAUAAUGUAAAAAUCUUUCUUGUGAAAAGGACUACAGAAAAUGACAAUCAACCAAUAGCAGUUCCUAGACAAGAAAGGCUCUUCACUUUAUGUGAAUAUGAAAACCAAUAUAAUUAAUUUUUUGUUUGAAUUCUUCUUGCUCAAAAUGUCAUGCAAAAUGCGACUAAAUUAGUUUAAAAGUCACAUCAAUAGUUCUAAUUAGUGACAUUUGAUACUGGAAUAAACCCCCAAUAUGCUUUGUCAAAUAAUGUUCUUCAAAUUAAGGGAAAAGAAGAAAAUAACCAUUCCAAUUGUGGUAAGGGUAACAUGUGGUGGUGUCCUUCUCUUUCCAUGCAUAAAUAAUGAGUAUGAUGAUCAAACAAUUUUGUCUGUAUCCUCCAAAGUCACCAUCCAUAAAAUUGUCUCCUUUUACUCUUUUUGUACUUUUGUCCUUUGGGAUGAAAAGACUACGUGAAAAAAAUUACUUAAUAAAUUUACUACCAUUUGAUUUGGAAAUCCUUCGAUCAGGUCGCAAACUAAUAUAUAAAUUGUUUUAGGUGAGCCUGUUGUGACAAGCUUGACUAAGAAGGUGUUGAGAGAAAAUUGAUCCUUAAACUCCCUUAUGGAAUAACACAUAUUGCACCAAUUCAGUUAUUCUUACGAUUGUUGCUUACUUUUAGUAAAAAAAGAUAAUUAUUACAUCCUUAAAAAAAUGAAUUGUUAUUAAAUAUUAUGAAAUGUUAUUCAAAUUAUCUAACCAAGAGUUGUUAAUUUUGGAAUUUUCAGCAUAUAAAUAAAGAUAUUUAGUUUUAAAAAGAUUACGGAUUAAUUUCCUAAAAAUAAAAAGAAAAUUAAUUACUUCCAAAGGUUUUAUUUUAGAGUAAAUAAACCCAAAGGAUUAAUCUUGUACAAAUAGGUCAAAUCAUAUUCUCUCAUCUUAAAAACUUUUAUAAUAUUUUGAAUUUUCUUGUUUUCACUAUAAUAAUAAUAAUACUAUUUCCUAUUUCAUUCUUUAACAUUUUAAGCAAUUUAUUCAAAUGGUGAAAUCAAGAACCGUGUACUGAAUCAACUAACGGUCACGAUGAUCCGGUUUAUUUUUCGGCUCAUUAUUACACGUCAUUCGAAAAGACAGACCUUAUCGAAAACAAGAAGAGUUAAAAAGUCGAAAAUAACCCCCUUUCUUCAUUCUCCACGUUAGCUGUUACUAGUUGUACCUUACCUCCAGUACAGUCACGUAUCCUGCGCAUAAUAGCUGCAGUCAAUACACACACAGACUGAUAUAAGAAAUACAAUAAACCACUCAAGAAAGAAAGAGACUCACUCACACACAUUUGUUUCUCUGCCAUUUUUGGUAAUUGAAAGGCUUUCAUCAAUGGCAGUUGACUAGGGUUUUUCUGAACUUUUUCUUUAAUUUAUGCCAUUCAAUUGCAUUCAAAAGAAGUUACAAAAUCUCAAACUAUAGUUUUGCUUGUUUCUUUUUUUCCUGGAAAAUACACCGCGACAUUGUUCUUAUUCUUGGUUGUGUUGUAGAGAGAAAGAGAAAUCACGGUAAACCGACAGAACUCUGUUUCUUGCUUUCUUGUUUUUUCGUUUCUUUCAUAGUAGAGUGCUCUAUGAAACAGUGCAACUUUGGUAUUUACAGAAAUUUUAGUUGCAGUGAAAGUGGUGAUUCUUUUACUGCUUGUUGAUUAGACGAGAAUUCUUAAUCGGUGAGUCAUGAUUAGUUUGAUCAAUGUCAUUUGUUUUUUUACUUUUUAAAGAAAUUUCUUCUUUUUUUGUUUGAUUGGUUAAUGGUUAGCUGAAGUGUGUAGAGAUUUUCAUUUGAACUAUUUCACAUUUGUGUAUAAAAUUAUUAAGCUUGCUUCAAUGCUUGAUAAGUAUGGGCGGAUGAGUUUUACCAGGACAGAUGUUGUUAACUCAGUUUAGUUCUUGGUGUUUUCUUUAAAUCCUAGUUUGGAUCCUUAGAAGUCAGAAGAAAAGAAAAAAAAAAUCGGAAUCAUGGUUUCCGUGGUUUAGAUGAUUUGGGGGAAAAAAAUAGGGAAAGCGCCUCCUUGAACCAGUUCUGGAAAAUGAGCUUAUCUUGAUAAAUUAGAUUAAUUUGGAAGAAGAAAAGGGAAGGGAAGUGCUUCAUUGAACCAGUUCUAGAAAAUGAUCUUAUCUAGAUAAAUUAGAUUGAAAUCAGUGUUUAUGCGUCUACUUGGUAACAUUCUCCAGUUUCACAAUGACUUAUUGUUCUUUAUGGUUCCUAUCAAUUGGGCGAGGUAAAGGAAGUGGAUGAGUUCAAACGGAAAGACAAAAAACAGAAACAAAAAGAUAAAAAUACGACUCUCUAGACAUUAGGGUACCAAUUGGAAAUUUAAGGGAAAGAAAGUUCAGGUACAACUUUGAAAGCUAGGAAUACCCAUUGGAUAAUGUCUGGUGAAGAGAAUAAAAACAAGAGUGAAGAGAAAAAAUGAGGUUGUAACUCUUUUAGUCUUGGUUAUAAUUGGCUAAAUGUAGGUAAUAGGAGAAGAAGAGUGGAUAAAACUAAAUGUUGAACUCUCUAAGGUUUGGCCACCAACUAAGGAGGUGAAAGAAUACUAAGAUUAGAUUCUUAUUAGAAAAGUAGUCAUGUAUACGGGAAAUGCUCUUGGAGGCUUUGACAUGUGUUAGGUAAUCUUAGGUAUUGGUGCAUAUCAGAGACUGGCUGCUGCCUGCUACAAUAAAGAUGCUUAGGAUAGUGAAACUUUUUCCUGUUGUAUAUAAUAUCUUCGAAGUCCUAUUUGUCUUUUAGAAAAGGCUUCGGUUUAUCUUCAUUGGAUGCAUUGGGUUCGGUAGGAGGUCAGCAUGAAUUUAUUGGAACAUUUUUUCUCUUCUUUUUUUUUCCCUUUAGCUUGUCCUAAAGCAUCUUGUAAUUAAGUAAGGGGAUCAUUCUAUAUAUUAGAUUGCUAUAACACUGAUUACUCAGGGUCAUUUUAAAUGAAAAAGGUAAAUAGUUACUUAUAAAAAACUAAAAAGGUAAAUACUUGUUCUGCAAAACUUAUACACGUGAUAUUCAGCAAAUUUACCGAAUAUUUAACAUUAGGUUUGAGCAAACUCUUCCAUGUCAGCAUGAAGAGAAAAGGUCAAUGUAGUGCCACACUAUGUACUUUCAUUAUCACCUCAAAAAAUCCAAGCAAGGGGAAUCCAGAAUCUCCGUUCCAUGAGAUCCACACCAUGUAUAAUUCUAAUAUACACUGAACUAUGUAGUCAACUUACCACUAGACAUGAAAGGGUUGGCAGUGAAAUGCAAUGAACAUGUUACUGUGGUCGAUUGCAACAUGAUGUAGUCAUUUUAAACAAUGAAAAACACUCAUCCAUGUUUUAUAUUACUCAGUCACUCUGUCCAAUGUAAUUAUCAAAAACCAAUAAGGAAAAAGAGAAUAGAAGAAAAUACCGUCUAAUGGCUCCUUUAGUUGAAUACACAGAACUAAACUUUGCUCUUUGUGUUUAAGGUAUGCAGUGCCAAAUUUGUCUUGUGUUAAAACUUUGAAUAUGAGCACAAAAACUAAAUUUGUCUACACUUAAAAUACCGUACAAUUUUUUCAUGCAAUAAAUGUUAAAAACUUCCAUAAGCUUUAUAAAGAUGCACAAGGUUCACUGUUCAUGGGUUUUGGCAUGAAGGGACGAUGAAGUGUCUUCUUUGGUCCAUUCCGUGUGCUUACUUGCCCUGCAAAAUGCAACCUGAUCAUGAUGCUUCUAGAAAGCUUAGCAAGGUUGGUACUUUUCCCCGUGUACAUAAGUUGAAGCUUAAAAUGCAUUUGAAAAAACCUUAUACUUUUUUUUUUACCAAGCACUUCUUGCUCAAACUCUUUUUCAAAAAACCACCUUCGCUUUGGGAUAAAUUGUCUGAGAGGCCCUUUUGAUAAUUUUUAUUGCUAGAUAGUUGACUAACAUAAAUGAAUUAUGAAAGCCUAAAUAACAUAACAAGAAUAACGACCCCUGCUUCUAUUGCCCCAGUCAUUUUCUUCUCAAAUUCAUGCUCUCCUCCCUAACUUCACAACAAGCUUCACAUAAGAUGAAGAAAAGAAACAUAAUAUUCAUUCUUACCAGGACAUUAAUUAAGUUGUUACUGGUUUUAGAUGGAGUUUGGGGGGAAAGUGGGCUAUGGAGAUGAACCAGGGUUGAUUUAAGUAACGAAAAUGUUUAAGCAAUAAAGAGUUCCUCUCAACAUGCUUGGUCAGAAGGUUCGAGAAAAGGUAGGUUCGUCGAAAUUGGUGACUAGUUGGGCUGCUGAAGUUUGGUGUGCGAGGUCUGGUUUAACGGGUUUGGAAAAGAGAUGGAGGUUUGGCGUGUGUUGGUGAAGUACAAAGGUGGAUGGGGGAAAUUAUUUAAUGCUGGAAAGGCGAACUAAGGAUAUGACUUAUGAUAGUGCACGAAAUUGAGAAAAAAGGAAGAUGUCCUGAUCGUGAAUUUCUAGAUUGCCGGUGCAUCUUUGGUACCAGGAGCUUUCAAAAUGGGAGUGAAGUGUGUGGAUUGCAACAUGACAGAUCUUACUGGGGUUACACUAUUUGUGAAAAACAGUGGAAGAGUGCCGAUUUUCAUUAGCUCAGGAGAUUAGUUCUUUUAUGGGAUGAAGGAGGAAUGGGAAAGAGGAAGGAAGGUGGGAGUUGAAUAAUGAGUUAGCUCUCCUUGAUGUAUGUAAUUUGCAUCUCCUUGAUGCCCUUCAAAUACAACAUCUUACUUUAUCAAAAUAAUGAGUUAGCUUCCUUGGCUGCUCAGGAGAUUAGUUGGAAGCAAAAAUCGAGGGUGUUAUGGUUGGAUGAGAGGGAUUCAAAUACAAUUUUUUUCAUUGGGUAGUUGGCAAAUAGAAGAAGAAAUUUCAUUGUUCCGAAGUGGUAAACAGAAUAGUGUACGAGGAGAAAGAAGAGAUUGAAUGGCAAUCAAAGGGAGGAUAAGAGAGAGUGGUUGGAAAGUGCCAUGGGUAAUAGGACUUAAUGCAUUCCAUGCUAUAAUAUCGUAGGAGAAGCAAUUUUGAAUAACUUAAACCGUACUUUUAUCUCUCUAAUAAAUCUUAGCGGAGUGGGGUGGGGUGGGGGAGGAAGAGAAGGAACUAAUGGGAAGCAGGGUUCUAGGGAGAUCGAUGAUUCAGUUAUUAUGUUUCUUCUUUCUCUCAUUUUACUGGCUCAAUUAGCCUUUUAAGAGAAGAAACCAUGGAAGAGGACAGAUGGCAUUCUUUUAAAAGUUUAGACUAAAUGAGCUCCCAAAAAUAGUUUGAGGGAAGAGUUUUAUAUUAAAAUUGUUCAAGAGGUCAUAGUGCAAUAUUAAAUACACUUGUUUACCCCAAAAAGUGGCUUGAUAAUUCUAGUUCAUGUAGUGUAAUUCUUCUAUAUGACUAACAGCUUAUUAUUUUCAUCUUCGACGUCUCCCGUGAUAUGCUUUUGUUGAUUUGACUAUAUAGCUCUCAGACUCAAGACUAGCAAAUCCACUGCUCCAGCUUCUAUGCCCAAGUCCAGGUACUCGGUUAACAAAUAAGGCCCCCAACCAUACAAUGUAAAGUCAAACUACCAAGCUCAUUGAACAUGUUUCUCAUUUAUUCUACCUUGCAUACUCUAACUAUAUUGAAGCUUUAUUCUCAAAUUUCUGAUGUUUAUAAUAUCUAGGCUUAACAGAGUUAGAAAAAAUUACUAAGUGCUCCUAAUGGAUUAAUUAGAGAGAACGACAGAUUAUUGCUGGUCUUAUUUGCAUAACUUGUGCUUGUUGUCUUUUUUUACAUGGGUUCAUGCAAGAAUUUGGGAUGAAUAUACUGCACAAUUGACUAGCGGUAAAGUAGUUUUUUAGAGCUCGACUGUAUGAAUAUACUUCAGAAAUUUUCCAGGUUAUUGAUUUGGGAUGAAACAUCAUUUAAACCAAUUUAAAUAGUUGUUGCAUAUAUAGCAAGUCAAUAUCUAGGUGAUGAAUCUAGAACUACAAUAAUUCAUUGGAAAAAAUAGUUCAAAAGCUCCCCCACCAUCUUUCUGUUAGUUAAAUUUGUUUCGACAAUGGCCAAGGUUAGCCUAUUUGUGAUUUAGUUUUUUCGUCUAUGUCACAUGUAUGUUACAACUUCUGGUAGAUCCUUGAUCCUUCAAUAUACAUACAAAGAUUACAGAUAUAUUACAUAGCCAUAGUUGAUACUAGUAAUACUCCAAAUAUGAGUUCACUAGAAUCUUGCAAACUUGAACACAUAAUUGAUUAGAUUUUAAUGUUUGAGAUAGUGAGAAGCUAUAUAUCAGCUUGUAGAAGGUUCAGUUAUCACCAUUCACCGAAUGCUUAAUGUUGAAACUUUGUCAUCAAAUAAUGUUGUCAUCUGGUCUAUUUGUCUACUCAAUUAAGACCCAAAUAAGUUGUCUAUAAAAUUGGUUGGGCAUCAGUUUCUCAAUUAUGGAAAAAUCAAAGUAAUAGAGGUUUUCACCUUCCUUUUUUUGUUCUUUGAUUCUUUUUGAGAAAUUGCUCAUCUUUUCUGGUAUGCUAAUGUUGUAAAAUGGAAUACUUCAAAGUUAUUUUUCAUGUGCCAUUGAUGUCGGUAGCUUAUGUCAAGACAUACAUCAAAAUUUUCUACAAGAAAGCUGACAUUUGUCACCGACUGCUAUGAGUAGAUUUUUAUGCAAGUCUUCUUCUCAGUGAGAUGAGGUGGUAAUGGAUUUAUUUUGAGGGGGAGUUUGGAAUUUGAGAGAUGUAAUACAAAAUAUGUUAGUGGAAUUGCAUGAUCUAUAAUUAUAUUUGUGUAGCACAUAGUGAAAAUUAACCACCGGUGUCUUGAUCAUGAAUAAAGAGGUGUUUUGAAGAGUAGAGGUUAAGAUGAAAGUAAUCAUAAACGAAGUGGGGGAAUCAGAGAGGGUAGAGGGAGAGAUGGAGCUAGAGUAAAGGGAAAUAAAGGAGGAGGUAAAAAAUGCGUUAGCUUCCUUGAGGUAGGUAUGGUUGGAUCACAAUGCUUGUUCUUAGGGGAGUUGUGACAAAUAUGAGGAGGUAGUGCAUGAGAGGAAGGAUGAUAUUAAAGGGCCAAUAAGAGGUUUCUAUGAGUACUCGUUUAAAGAGGAGGUGGAUUGGAGACCUAAAUUGGAUGGAUUAGCAUUUAAUGAAAUAGGAAAGGAUAAGAGGGUAGUGGUUUGAACGAGCUAUGGGAAGAUGAGGUGUGGGAGACAGUGGAGUGUUGUGCAGGGGUAAAGUUCCAGGACUAGACGAAUUUACUUUAGCAUUUUCGAGCAUUGUUAGAAUAUAGUCAGAGGUGAGUUGAGUCGAGUCUUUUAUGGUGAUCAGAGAAUUUGAAAAAAAUUCUCAAUGCUUCUUUCAUUGUCAUUUACCCAAAAAGAGAGGAUGCUACUAGUAUCAAGGAUUAUAGACCUAUUAGUCUAAUGGUAAGCAUAUAGAAAAUUAUAUCUAGGAUGUCUACUUCAUGCAACGCUUUUGUGGAAGACAAAUUUUUGUUAGAUGCAACACUGAUAGCAAAUGAAAUUGUUGACUUGAGGAGAAAGCUAGGGGAAUCGGGGAUUUUAUGCAAAUUAGAUCCUGAGAAAGCUUAUGACUACGUUAACUAGGAGAAUCUUGAUUUCAUUAUAUUGAAAAUGGGUUUCCUCGUCUCACUCCUUCAGAAGUCUAGAACUACCAACGAAGCCACACAUGUUGCCGUUCAUAAGGACCGAAAACUUGACCAUUGAGAUGCAAUAUUUGAUUCACUUCCUCCAUCAUGCACCAAAAACCCAUUUCUUUUCAUUCUCAAAAGAGAUUAUCCACAGGGAGAAAAGAACUGUUAAUCAAAAGUAUACUUUCGAGCAGUCCCAUAUACUUCAUGCCUUUGUUACACGCUCCAUUCAGUGUUAUAUGAAAGUUGGGAAAGCUUCAAGGGAUCUUAUAUGGUAUUCCUCAAGCAGGAAAAAGAAGUUUCAUUUGGUAAAUUAGGAGACGGUUACGACACCGAAGUGUUGGGGUGGACUUGGGAUGAACAAUUUAAAGACCUUAGCAAGGUGCUAUAGGGGAAGUGGUUGUGGAGAUAUGGUGUAAAGGAGAACGUUUUAUGGAGGGAGGUGAUUAAGGAGAAAUAUAGGGUUCUGGAAGUGGGUUGGAGGUUUAAGAAUACCAAACUUCCUUAUGGAUGUAGGCUUUGUAGGAAUAUCUUAAAGGAGUGGAAGAGUUUAAUGGGAAUAUACCAUUUAGGGUGAAUGAUGGAAGUAGGGUAAGUUUUUAGGAAACAUGGGAACAACACUUGGUGAAUUACUUUUUCAAAUAUGUAGAGUAUUUCAUGCCAUCAUAAGAUGUCGGUUCAACUGAUAUGUACACUGCAAGGUGGAGAAGUUAUAUGGGAUCUGAAGUUUAGAGAGAACUUGCAAGUUUGGGAGGUUCCAAAAUUUCAAAACUUGAUUGGGAGAAAGUUUGAACGUAUUGCGUGUUAUGUAUUAUUUUUAUUGUUUAUUCUUCCUCAUUGUCCACAAUUAUUUGAAGAGUUGGUUCUAUUACCUUAAGGUCAUCUAAAUAAGGAUUGCCAGUUUCUUUUGGAUUGCAUUUUUGUUUGUUCCUGUCUCCUCCACUAUCAUUGACUAUAAUAGCCUUAGAAGAUGUUUCUUUGAUGCAAAAAUCGCCUCAUCCACAACGGCGAAAGGCGAGGCGACCCUUUACCGCCUAUUAACUUUGUGCCAAAGCGAUCUUUAAAAGGCGACACCAUGGCGAAAAAGGCGUUGCCUUUUCUAUUUUCUUUUAAAAAGGCGACCAAUUUAGGGUUAUUUUAAAAGGUAAUUUUAGGGUUUUCUUUCCAAAUCUGCACAGUUGCACUCUUAGAUGGCGACUCCAACUCCAACCGGUUGACUCAACUAGACUUCUCCGGUGACCAGCUAGACUUUUCCGGCAACUCCUAAGUUCAACCAAUACGUAUUUCUUCUUCCUCCGUUUCUCUUUCCUUCUUCUUCUUCAGACUUCAGUGUUACUUCUUCCUCUGUAUUUUUCUAACUGUUUGACUUUUGUUUUGUUUUUUUCUCAUUCAAGUUCUAGACUUCUUGCGCCGUCCAGAACACUGCUUGCAAAAAGCAAUUGUGUUUAUAGGAAUUGGGACAUUGUGGCGUCCAGCUUACAGUAGGCAAUGUUGUUUGAGAAUAUUUAUUCUGUGCUUUAUUCAAAUGUGCAGGUUUUUAUUACUUCUGGUUCCUUCAACUUUCUACCAUGGGUGUGGAUGAAAAUUUUUUAUACCUACACAAUCAAGAUAAAGCUCGACAUCCCUUGGCUGUAUCCAGACAUGCUUUGUGCGAUCUAUCUAAUGUUUCUCCAGUGGUUUUCCUCUACCUCUUAAAGGAAUGCUAUGUUUAUGGUAAAUUUCUCCCACACUUUUUCUCUUCUUAAAAAAAUGCUGUCUGGCCUAGUUUUGAUCAUUCCAUAAGUUUUAGAAACUUUUUUCCUUACACAUUUUACUAGUAGAUAUCUGAUCGUUCUUUUGGUUAUUUCUUUGUUUGUUGCUCAAAUGACAGUUAGAACUUUUUCAGUAUAAUGAUCAAUUGAUAAGGAUUUGAUAAUCAUUUGUUGGAUGCUUAAUACUUUUUUUCAAGAAUUUGUAUCAUAGAAAGGAGGGACAUGAGUUAAAUCCUUAUAUGGUAAAGAAUGAAGAACUCUCAUCCUACCUCUGCUCCUCUGGUCAAUGACAUUCUCUCUAUGCCUAAAUAACCACACUGUCUCAUGACUAUUUAAAUCUUUCAAACUCCAAACUGGAAGCAAAAGAAUCCUGGCUCAUGGAUUCUUGUUAUCUUUCUGUGAAGUUCUAGUCUUAAAAAAAACGCGAGAUAUGCUUAUCAGCCACUGGUCCACCUUGUUGAUUUGACCACCCUAAUGAUGCGGCUUGGUGCAAAAUGGUGAUUGUGAAUACAUUAGUGGAUAAUGAUAGGAGAGCUGUAGAUAUUGAAUUAACCAUUUUCCCUCCAAUGUCAUUUGAGCAACAUGAUGAUUUUAAGUGGACUGUGCUAGAUUAUGUAUCUGUAGAAUUUAAUGAUCUACAAAAAAGAAAUUGUUAGAGUGUUUUUUUUCAAUACCUUUGGCAAUAUGAACUAUGAAGAUCUAGGUGUGAUUUUCGUGUUCAUAUGUACGGCAAAGACUUUACUCCUUUCCUUCAUCCAAAAAGGAGUCGAGUCUAUGAGUACUACUACUAUUUUCUGUGGGUAGGAAGUUCAUAGAAUAGUUUUUGAGAUGAAUUAGCAGGUUUAUGCUGCAACAGAAAAAAAGCUACAUGUUAGUCAAAGUUUGAAUGCAUGAAAUGAUUUCUGACUUGCAUAGGUAGGACUCAGUGGCUACAGACACAGGCUUAUUUCUUACGUUAACAAUCAUUGACUUGUGACUCAUUUAGCAUCCAUUGCCAAAUUGUUGGUAAUCUCUCAAGUUUCAUUUGGUAAACCUAAAGCAUGAAAUCUUAGGGCAAUGAAAAGGAUCAUCAAUAGGUCUUGAAAUAAAAGAAGUGGAAGUAAUUUUUGUUUCCUUCUAUGGAUGAUUAUGGUGUAGCUCAAUUUGGUAAUAUUUGAUAAUUAUAUAUUUUCCGACAAGUUUUUAUCCUUAAUAGGAACAUGCAAGGCGACUGCUAAGUUUCGAGUUCUGCAACAGCAAGCGUAUGGGUUUUUGUACAAUGAUCCCCAACCUGGAGCAGCCAUCUUUGUUGCACAUUGCCUGUAUGUGCUGCCUAUAUUUGAGUCACACUGUGAAGGAUUCAGUCAUUUGAUAAUAUCCGCCCUUCGUCAUUUCCUGAAAGUGGGAAAUGGGAUGAAUGGUAUUUACAAAGCUAAACUUUUGGCUGCCAAAUUAUUUCUUGCCAUUGUUGAUGGUACUCUGCAUCAUGAAGAAAGAGUCCUAGUCAAAAUCCUUGAAGUUUUUGAUGUCAGUCUGUCAAACAUAGAAAAAGCUAUGUAUGAUGCAGAUGAGAAGGGUCACACAUGCCAGACGGCUAAGGUUUUGGUUGAGCAAUAUAUUUCUAGGUUAGUAGAUUCCCAGUCUUACAUGACUGCAGUUUCAUUGUUGGAACACUUUUCUAUCCGGGAAUCUGGCGAAUCAUUUCUACUUAGAAUGUUGGAAAGCAAAGAGUACAGAGCAGCAGAGAAGUGGGCAACUUUUAUGGGGAGGCCAAUCUUAUGCACCCUUGUCCGAGAAUAUGUCAACAGAAAACUGCAAAAGCACGCCUUUGAUGUUAUAAGGCAAAACAAUCUUCGGGAGGAGUUCCCGGAAAUAUAUCGUCAAUACAAAGAAAGGCAAGUGGACUUCAUCCACUUUUGUGUGACUUAACCUAUCAGCUAAUUUUUAUGAACAAUGCUGACUGAAUGACAGUACUAGUUUACAGUAAACUGAAGAAGCUAGCAGAAAAGGGCUGCUGGGACGUUGCUGAGGCAAGGAUAUAUGAUGAUCGACAACUUCUUGAAUACUUGGCAAGUACACAGCUACAUUAACUUUGUCAAUUGCUAAUUAAUUUUAGUGCCAUCAAAUUUGUUGUCAAUUGCUUGCUCAUUCUUGUGUAUUGAAUUGUUGUCAAGAUUUAAGUUGUUAGUACUCUUGAGAGGUGCUAUACAUAGGCGCCUAAGGCAUUUAAGCUUCAGAUUUAUCUAAUAAGUAUAUUAUUCCUGUCAGUUUCUUGGUCUGAUGAAAGGAUGUGGUUGAAUGUAUUCCUUAGAAAUUUGAGUUCUUUUUAUGUUAUUGGGCUGAUACUUCAAAGAUCAAUGUUCAUGAGAGACAAGUUAAAAGUACCUUUUGACUUUUGCAAUAUGUGAAUGUGCAAUAUCGCUUGAGUAAAAACUUACAUGUGUUGUAUUUGAUAUUUGAUAAUAGGUAUAUUUGGCUAUGGAAGCUGGUUACAUGGAGAAGGUCGAGGAACUCUGUGAACGGUAUUCCCUUGAAGGCUUCAUAAAUGUCAAAGGUACAUUGGAUUCCUCUACUUCGUGUUAAGUAUUUAGUAUAAGCACUUUUUUUAAGUUUUUAGAUUUAAAGCACUAAUGAGCUAUAUUUGCUGACCUCUCCAAAAAGUUUUAAUCUGCAUUAAUGUUGAAUUAGUGUGAACUACAGGAAAUUUGAGUCUGCUAAGAUUGCUCUUUGACUAUGCUUUUUCAUGCUGCAACGCGUGCAUUAAAUCUUUGAUGAGAUUCUCUUGGUACAAAGAAGUGUAUGAUUUUGAUCUAUGAUAAACUAUUCUGAGAUCCACCCAGUAUAGUUAUUCUGAAAUGAUGCGGUUUUCAUUAUGCUGCCUUUUAUGUUGCUAGGACUUGGUUGAUUAUGUUUUUUCCUUCUUUUAAUUAUUUCUGGAUGUUGGCUUGUGGUUUAUUUCAGAAGUAGUCAGCUCCAAGCAAAUUUUCUUUUCGUCUAACUCCUAUUUUUUUCUUACUUCUAUAGAGCUUGAGGAAAGUAUUCCAACACACCGAUACUUGCAGCUUGAUGAAUUGUCAAUUAAGGAAGUAGUCUGGGUAGAUGAAAUGAAUAGCUUGCUGGAUGCGACAUGCGACAUUGAAGAAUGUAAAGUUGUGGGCGUUGACUGUGAGUGGAAGCCUAAUUAUGAAAAGGGAAGCCCACCUAAUAAGGUAUUAGUUGGAUAAAAGCUACCUUUUAUAAGUAGUAGUUCUUCCCGCCUCAUUAUCUUGCGCUUUGUUCUUAAAGGGAUGGUAGUAAAAAAGUGUGUUCCUUGUUUCUCACGAUCUAAAGAGGGAUCUAAAUUUACGACUGAUGAAAUGUCUUGGACUACACCACAAUCAGCUUAACCUAUCCUGAAAAGUGAAGAUAUUUGUGUUGAUUUAUAACUACAAUACAGACAACAGAAUAGUUACUCUUCCCUGAAACAUAUUGGACUUUGUUUCUCAGUCAUCUUCCUCUCCGUCCACUAAAUAUUUUUUUUGUUGGUGUUGAAAUGGUAAGUUUUUAUUCAUAAACGGCAUUAGAAAUGUGCUGGAAUUAUGUUCAUUGUGCCAAAUGUAUGAAAACAGAAGUAUACCCUAUCUGAAUCGGUAGGGAUUCUUGUGCUCUAAAAUAGAUUCAACUUCAUUUACAAGUUCAAUUUUACUCCAGAAGUAAAACAAAAAAUUGGCUGUUGGCCUUUUAUCCUCUGGAUGUGAUUGUGUUUAUGAUUCUUCUCUUUUAACCUGCCCUGAUUCAGCUUCUCAAAAAAUCAGCAGUGUUGUUUGGCAUGGACCAUUUGACUCCAACAAGUUCCAAAAUAGCUUCCAAAUCCUUUUUCUUUUUUUUUUAUCCCUCCCUAGGAGCUCCCACCCCUUUUGCUCCCUUGGUGACUCGAACUCGCAACCUUCGGGUUGGAAGUGAGGGGUGCUUACCAUCCGAGCAACUCCCUCUCGUCAAUAGCUUCCAAAUCUGAUCUGAAAUUGGACAGUGAAAUAAAAUGCUCAUUGCUUUCUAUAUCUCCUCCACAGAAGUAGCACCUAUUGCAUAGAAAAAUUCCUCUUUUCUGUAGGUUGUCAUGGGUUAAAACAUAUUACGUGGCAGCAAUGUGAAAUAUGAAACUUCAUAAGGAGCUUUUGAUCUUUAGAUCUGCUUCCAUGGCCAAGGCUAUGGCCUCAUGUGCUGCUCGUCUCUGGUAAUAAUAGCUCAGUAAUAUGAAUUAACAGCGUAGAUGUCUCUCUUUCUCCCUCCAUUAUGAAGAGGGUUGAUAAGAAAAUGAGCCUAGAACCCCAAUGAUCUAUUUGUAAUUAAUUUAGCUUUCAUGGAUUCGCCUCAGGUGACACAGGAAGAAUGCAUGUGAGUACAUCCCAUUUUAUUCUCUAUUCUUUUUGUUUGAAUCUAUUAUUUACUCAUAAAGCUCUUUGGUCAUUAUUACUUAUAAGUGAUGGAUAGGUUCUGGGCUAAUCUUGGUCUCCUUUUUGGUUAAAUUUCACUUUUUCUGGGAUCAGGCAUAGUACAUAAUUAGGUGAUUCAUCCAUCUCUUUAUUGUCUUAGAUAGAAGGUUCCGAUUCUUCCGAUAAACUGAGUUUAACAAUCCCUUGCUAAUAUGGAAGUAUUUAAGAAUGUUAACUUUUUGCGUCUCUCGUGAUGAACAAAGAGGUUUGUCUAGUAAGUAGACUUUCAAUUCUUUUCUGUGCAAUGUAUCUCAUUUUUUUUGCAAUGUGUUUGGUGAGACAAUUUUGGAGCUAGAGGGUAUUCGCCUUCUGUGAGAUUGAAUAAAGAAUAUCAUGUUUCCUACCAAUCUCUCUUUUAGUAUAGUCUGGUUUGUUGCCUUUUUGUGCAAUAACCUUUUAUCCCUUAAUUUCAAAAUGAAUAAGCUUUAUAUUCUUUGAAUUGAUUGUCCUUAUUGUUGGGCAUGAUGGAGAACACAUUUAAGAUGAACUGACUUCUGGGGAGUGAAGCAAAUGCAUGUUUUACAGUAUAAUGCCUUUCUAUUUCCCCGUGGGACAGGUUUCCAUCAUGCAGAUUGCUUCAGACAACAAAGUUUAUAUACUUGAUCUCAUUAAGUUAUAUGGAGAUUCUCCGGAUGUACUGGAUGACUGCUUAACCCGCAUAUUGCAUUCUCCAAGAGUACUGAAGCUUGGUAAGAGAGAACAUUGUCCUGUUGGGAGAUAACAUUCUUUUAAUCUGUGGGCAUUUUCAUGUUAUAAGUUCAGUACAGCUUUUCUGCUCCAAGAAAGAAAACUAGUUGAUUUUCAUGGCUUCUUUUCAAUCUUUGCACUACUUAUAUCAAGCGGUAUGUGUCCAUUAAGAGGGACCACUGAUUUAACUAGAUAUUUGUAUGGAACACAUUCCUGGUUUUCUUUGGUAUACCAGUAUAUUUUCGAUCUGUAUACUUUAUUUGCAGACGAAAUUCUGCAGUCAUAAUCUGGUAGUUUUCAGGGUACAACUUCCAGUGUGAUGUGAAGCAGCUUGCUCUAUCUUAUGGGCAGUUGCAAUGCUUCAAGCACUAUGACAUGCUACUCGAUAUCCAGAAUGUGUUCAAAGAACCAAGAGGUGGUCUCUCUGGUCUGGCAAAGGUAAUUCAUAAAUGUAUUCUGCAUUCAUGUUUGUCGUCGCAUGUGUAAUGUUUUCGUAUCUAUAUGCAGAGUAUAAAUUCUUGUUGGUUUUGUAGUAAAGAGAUGCAAUAUUAAUAAUAAGAACGAUGAAUGAAUUUUAAGUUCUUGCUUUUAUUUGGUUUCUUUCUUGAUACAGAAAAUAUUGGGUACUGGAUUGAAUAAAACAAGAAGGAAUAGCAACUGGGAGCAACGGCCUUUAACUCAGUUUCAGGUAAUGUGUACAUUUUAUAGUAUCACAGAUAAAGGUAGUGCUAGUAUGUGGAAUACCUUCCCGCAUGUAUUCAUACCUAUUAUGUGUAUCGCUAUAUAAAGUUAUACUUGUUGUAGUAUGUGGAUUGCUGUAUUUUUCUAAAGAAAUGUGAUUAAGAUGGUAGUGGCUUUGUCCUUGUGAAUGAUAUGAUCUGGUCCUUGUGCAUUAUUAUGGUUUUUGGCUCUGUAGUAAUUGAUAGUAGUACCUUUUAUUUGUUAUGCAGCUAGAAUAUGCUGCUCUUGAUGCUGCUGUUCUUGUUCACAUAUUUCGUCAUGUUCGCGGCUACACACAACCUACUGGUGACGAGGAUGGGCAUUCCAAAAUUGAGUGGAAAUCUCACAUUGUAUGAAUAGAGUACCUCUCACCUUUUCUUUGUUUUUCCUCUUUUAAGACGUCUAUUUUUGUCAGGCUCAGUGUUCUUUUUGCUGUGUAUUACUUCUAUCAAUAAAUUUUUGUAUGCUCACCUAACUUGUGCUGGGGUUUUUUCCAGGCUUCCCACAUUGAUAAUUCAAAUUCGAAGAUUUCCAAAAAAGAAGCUAAAAGGCGGAAGGCCAAGGCCAAAACUGAUAAAGCUCCACAAAGCGUCGAGACUAAGGAGUUUACUGAACAAACUUUAAGUUAAAGCUAGGAAAUAAAGUUGUUAUGAUACAUCUAAGUUUUACUCACAUGUAAGUAUUUUUCUUCUGAAAGACGCACACAUUUACAGUUUAAAGCCUUGAACUGUUACAGGUUUGUGAGUAUAUAUAGAACAGCAACGUUUCAGUUACUAAUUUGGUUAAAUUAGUUUUGCUUGGAUUUUCAGAAUUCUAUUUCAUUUUUUCUCCUUGGGCCAAAAUAUAAUUGAAAAGCUUAGAUCCAGUUGAUAAUAACAUAACGUUUCUUUUAGAGCCAUUUUUCAUUAUGUAUUUAUUACUCCACUUUUUGUCUAUCCAUGGCCAAUUUUACCACUGAAUGAGACUAAAUUCUACUUUCAAAAAUUUUACACUUUUACCCUCUUAGUCAUCAGAGUAUUAAUUUUCAACCUCCCAUUAAUCUCGUCCUCUAUAUAUUUGCAGUCUCUAACAUGCAUUUCUAAAGCCUUAAUCUUCUCUCCUCCAUUCCUCUCUGUCUCUCUACCACAAAACCAUCUCAGAGAGGAGGAGGAAAGAAGAAAAAAUUAAUGGAAGAUUUCACGUUUACUCAUCGGAGAUAUGUUAACAGCGGGCAAAGAAUAGGAAUCAUCGAUGACAAAGCCUAUGCAGUUAAUAACGUAUACGUUAUUCGAGCUCACAAUAAUAAUAAUAAUAAUUUUGGGACGAUGGAUAUGAUGCAGCCAUAUUCUCAGAAGAAUAAGUACGAAAUCGCAAAGACGAGUUAUAAAAAAGGAGGAAGAGAGACAUGGUACUCGAAUCCGGAGUUUAAUAGGAAGAAGAGGGUGGCAAAAUAUAAGAUAUAUUCCAUGGAAGGAAAAGUUAAGAGAUCUUUCAAAAAUAGUUAUCGUUGGUUCAAACAUACUUGCUCUAGAAUCAUUCAUGGUUUCUAAGCAUGCCUUUUUGUUUAUAUUAUAUUCAUGUAUGUUACGUUGUUGUAUUUCUCCAUCUUCUUCUUGUUCAUAUUUUGUUUUUUUUUUUCUUCUCCAAAAUGUAAUUCCUUUAGUGUACAAUAUGGAUGGAUUGUGUGUAAUUUUAGUUUCUAUGGAUCUUUCACUAAUUUUAUUAUUCCUUUGUUGUUUUAUUUCUAUUAGAUGUAGGAAUUACAAAACUCACACCUAUCGCCAUAUCAUUAGAUGGUAAGUUUUGAUGGUGUGUUAAAUCAAGAAUAGGGCAUUUCUAGGAUCCUUUUCUGUUUUUAAUUAUUUGAUGAAUGAGUACUUCAACGUCUAUAUUCUUAUUCACUUUUUUUAAUAGUUAGAUUAAUCCAAAUGAGGAGAUCUGUUUCAAUUGAGGCUUUUAAAAAAUGGGUUUUAAUUUAAGGAGUAGAAAAGGUAGUUGAUCUAUAUUUGGUAUACAUAUAUAUUAAUGCCUCUUAUAACGACUAGGACUUCAUAGGCCAUUUUAUCCAUUAAGGGGUGGUCGUUUGGUACAAACAUUAAUAAUGCAUGUAUUAGUAAUGUAAAGUUUAUUUUUAUCAAGUGUUUGGUUCAUUGUUUCCUAUCCCAUCUUGUGUUUGGAUUAAAACUCUUUAAAAAUCUUCUUUCCGAUUAUACCCUUGAAAAUUAUAUAACUGAGUCAAUAAUUGCCGAACAAUAUAUAUAUAUAUAUAUAAUUUUUUUAUGACCUUCUAACUAGCUAUGAGAAAGAACAAUUUUAUUGCCAUGUUUGCUAUUUCUUCACUUGAAUUAUUUGAGGAUAAAUAAGUACGUAAAACUAAGAAGUGUAACUUAGCCUUGGGCCAUAGAUGCUCCAAGCCCAACACAAAACGAGUAGCACGGAACGCUGUCGUUUAAAUAAAACUAGUGGGAUAAAACUUCGAAAUACAACUUUCGUAGUACGAAAAGAAGUUUUAAAAUUGAUUCUGAAGAAGGCAAAUGAAAGCGCGGGAAAACCAACGACGGCCACCGCUGCGACGGCCGCGAAAGGCGGAGAUUGAAGACGCUGAAGAAAUGCAGGACGAAGAUCUCGAGUUAGAGAAAGUUAGGCUUCUAAGCUUAGCCCUUGAAUUCGGAUUUGAUGAAGACUCCGCAAAGACGUGCUUGAAUCGCCUCGUUGAGCUCUACGGUAAACCCUCCAUUUUCCCAUUCCUUACCGCAGCAGCCCAGAACUAGUACAAUUAUUGCUUCAUGAAUCAGGAUUAUAUAUGUUUAAAAGAAAAAAUAACUCAAGUUAUUGUCUAAUUAUGAAAAGAUUCAUGCAGGUGAUUCUGACUAGGUUUGAAUUUAGGCUUACUUGAUUGAUAUACUUGAUUACAUGGUUCUUAUUUAGGAGCUUAUUGGUGGAGCUAUUACAGUUUUCAUUAUUUUUUUUUCACUUGUGAAGGUGAUGAUGGGCGAGAUUUCAUCAGUGUGGAGCUCUGUGGAGAUGAAUUUCUUGCGUUGCUGGCUGAAUCUAUGCAAGACACUGAGGAUUGGGAUGAUUUGCAAGCAAUUGAAUCAGAGGCUUGUGGAGCUCUAGCUGAUAUGUUGGGUAAGGGUGCUCGUGAGGACUGUGAAGUUGAUUGUGAUGAGGAUUCUGGCGCCUAUGUCCAUGUUAUUGAGGAUUCACCCCAACAACAAAGGCGUGCAAAAGCAGUGCUGUUGGAUUCUUCAAGUGACAGCGAAGAGAUGGGUAUUAGAUUUGCAAGAAAAGAGGAUCUCCCCUCUACCUCUAAGAUUCGCCGUGAUAGAAUUCACCAGGGCAUGAAUCCACAAUCAGGGUGCCGUGCCUCAACAUCGAUGGUAGUACUUAUUUAGACUUAUGAUCUUUUCUAUCAACUGUUUUGUUUAUUUCUUAAAGUAUCAACAUUUCUACUGCAGCAUUGCAUUAGACCAGUGAUAUGUUGAAUCGUCCUGUAAAUUAUUUCAAAUAGCUGAGAUCCAAAUGAAUGGCUAUAUGAUAUACUCUUAGCUGACAUGUGAUCACCCUUUAUCUUGUUCUAUCUGAACCAAUUUAUCUAGUACUGACUGAAAUCCUCCUACUCCAUGCUCUGCCCUUGUUGAAAGGAUUAUACGAGUGUGGUUACUGAAGGUUCAUAUUCAUCGGUCUCCCCCGAAAUGGAGUGCCCCUUGGAAUCAAAUCACGGGGACAAAACCCUUAGUUAUGAAGAGUUGCAAAGGUUGGAUGACAUUGAACUGGCAAAUGUGGUAGUAUUUGGAAACAGGUCCUUUCGUCCUUUACAACAUCAAGCUUGUCAAGCAUGUCUUCAAAAACGAGAUUGCUUUGUUCUUAUGCCAACUGGAGGUGGUAAAAGUCUUUGCUACCAGGUAGAUUUCUUUACUAUACAGCUGGUCCUUUCCCUGAGUAUUGUCUUGAGUGAUGCAUGAUUGCAAGAACUUCUUGAUUCAUAUUGAACCUGCAGUUGAAGAAAUCUAGUUUGAAUGUUAGUCGUAGUUCCAAUGCAUAUAAAGUUGCAGACUUGUCUGCCAAAAGAUUAGAAUAUUCCGUAACUGCUCCUGUUGUUUAUGUUCUUACCUUUGGUCAUACCAGCUGAUGUUAUCUUGUCCUGACUUUCCUUGUGAGAAAUCAGUUACUAUUCACCACAUCCACUGUGAAAGGUUAUAAGACUGUUUAUCACAGACACAUAAAUCAUGCUUAAGGUAAAUGUGCAAAAAAAAAUUAAAGGAUGUCCAGAAAGUGCAUAUCAUCUUGCUUGAAGUAUGCAAUCUUUUCAAAUAUAGGAUGAUGCAUGAUUUCCAAUUUUCUCACCCAUCAACUUACCUUGGAAUGUGCUGUGCAAAGAAUCCCAUUGAGUUGGGAAAAAUUAGAAAAUGAUUGUGUUAUGAGAAGUGGUGAAAGAUUCUUAUUGGUGCAUAUCAAGUUCUUAAAUUUUCUUUUAAUAAAUCAUAAUAUUUAAUUCAUCAGAUAUGCCAUAUAUCUGUUAAAAUAUAUAUGCAGUGUGGUUUUCUCAACCAUCAUUAUCUAAAAAGUUAACCCAGUCGCAUAGGCACCAAGUUAUCCUUUAUUUACACGAAAAAGUACACAAGACAGUUUUCUUGUACUAUCAUAUUCGUCACGCUUCCAUGGAAUUUUCUCCUAUCUUUUUAUUCCACUAGACAACUAACCAAAAACCAUAUUUUUGUGGAAGGGAUCUCUACCAUUGUAUGCUUCUUGUAUCUGGGUUAGCCCUCUUUACAAAAAGAAUACUUAUUAGCCUUUCUGUGAUCAAUAAACUUUUGUUAGCACUUAUUGAAACAAAAAGCAACGCAGAGAAAGCUUUACUCUUACUACAUUCUUUAGGUCAAAUGUGUGCACUUAAAAAUGGUUUUCAAAUGCUUAAAGUUCUCCACCUUUGUCGAUAUUUUAAUUCAAGGUUGGGCUUUAGGACAUUACAGUCACCCAUCAAAUCCUACUAAUUUGUCAAGACUCUGACUAGUGUUAGCACUAAUUCUGUUUUCCUUUUCUGCUAUGCAGCUUUCAGCGAUUGUUCAACCUGGUGUUAUGAUUGUUGUAUCUCCCCUACUUUCACUAAUUCAGGAUCAGAUAAUCACCCUUAACCUCAAGUUCGGGAUACCAGCAACCUUUUUAAAUUCCCAACAAACUCAAUCACAAACUGCAGCUGUACUACGAGAAUUAAGGCAUGGUUUUACUUGUGUAUCUUCAUAUCCACUUAUUUACUCCUCUAAAUUAUGAACUUUACUGAUUGACUUUCAGGAGAACAUUUCUUGAGCGUGACUAGUAAUAUACUUCUUGAGCCUGCCACAGAAGAAAACAUGUUUUAUGGUCUCCACAUGACUCAUGGUCCAUAAUAUGCAUACUCAUGCAAGCCCCUACCAUGCAUGUGUUGUCAGGAAUACUUACUGCACUUUCAGCAGGUCUCAUCUUGUUUCCUAUGGCACCAGAAAAAAAGAAUUUGCUUGCUUUAAAUACGUGCAAGUAUGGAAAGCUUGGAAGAUAGCUCUUGCAAAUAAAGAAAAUGGGGAGGCCGGCAUUUAUACCUUUAUUGGUCUUUUGUCCUCAUCUCCCCCACACACAUUUUCCUUUGGCUAUGAAGUAAAUCCUGAAUGCCUUAAAACUUACACUUGUUUUCAGUUAAGACUGACUCUAAUGACAUAAUUUCAGAUCAAAUGCCAAGUCAUGACUAUUCCGUCCUCUAUUAAAUUAUUUUACUAUGAGAAGCCUUUUCAAGUAUUCGAAUGGGCUUGUCAACUGAAAUAGAAUUUUAUCUGAUCUGACUUAUUGGCUUCUUUAGAAAGUAUUAUCAUUAAACCCCAAACUCUUUUCAUUGAAAGUUGUAGCAGUUCUUGUAAUCCUGUCCUGAAAUUCCUGUAGUUCGUACCUAAUAUCAUAUUCUGGAUUUGCAUCCUUUUUUCUUACUUCUAGGAAAGAUGUACCAUCCUGCAAGCUCCUCUAUGUAACUCCUGAGAGGAUAGCUGGAAAUUUAUCAUUUCAAGAAACCUUACAAUGUAUGCAUAGAAAGGUGAGUUUUUUGUAAGCAUAUAACACCACGGGUAGUUAUUUUAUCUUAUUUAAGUCCAGAAUAUUUCUAGAUGGUGUUUGUAAAUAGAAGUUUUACUGGACUAAUUUCAGGGACAAUUGGCUGGUUUUGUUAUUGAUGAGGCUCACUGUGUGAGGUAUUCCCUUAUUCUAAAAUCAUCUUAACUGUUUGGAGGUAAAGAUGUAAAACUAUAAUAGUGCAGACUGAUGUAUCAGAUGAGGGGACAGGAAAUCCAUCAAGAAACUAUAUCCUCUUCUUGUUGAUGUUGUUGCUUAUGUCAACCUUAUGUUUUUUGAAUACAUAGUUUUGGGCGUUCUUAUAUGUUUGGUAAAAAGAAUCACAAAAGUGAUUGGAAAUUAUGCAGUCCCUGUUUCAAAUAAUCUGAUAGAAAUAGAAAAACAAUAGGCAUGAUGUUGUCAAUAGUUUAGCUGAUUUAAGGUAUAUUUGAUCUGUUCUUUUACCUGUUUCUCAGCCAAUGGGGACAUGAUUUUCGACCAGAUUAUAGAGUAUUAGGAUGUCUUAAGCAAAAUUUUCCAGAUGUUCCAGUGAUGGCAUUAACUGCCACAGCAACCCAUGCAGUCCGUGAAGUAAGACAGCUACUUGAAUUUGUUCUUUUGUGAGGUCUGGUUAUUUUCCUAGUUUCACUUUUUCUGCACUUUGCAGGAUAUCUUGAGUGCUUUAAGAAUUCCUCGUGCCCUUGUCCUUGAGACCAGCUUUGAUAGAUCCAAUUUAAAGUAUGAAGUUACUGGAAAGAGCAAAGAGCCACUCAAGCAACUUGGGAAUCUAUUACUGGAUCGAUUCAAGAAUCUAUCUGGAAUUGUGUACUGCCUAUCAAAAAGUGAGUGCGUGGAUGUCUCAAAAUUUUUGAAUGAGAAAUGCAAAAUCAAAACAGUAUACUAUCAUGCUGGUUUAGCAUCUCGUCAGAGGGUUGCAGUUCAGAAGAGGUGGCGCUCUGGAGAGGUUGAUAUCGUUUGUGCGACUAUUGCUUUUGGAAUGGGAAUUGACAAACCUGAUGUUGUGAGUUCUCGUGGACUAUGAUGUUUCUCUGCUUCUUUCCAUAAAAUGACCUCUUUGAUGACUGAUGAUGUUCCAAAUAUGACUCUUAAUCAAAUGUCAUUGAUAAGUGAUCUUGCUACAAAUAGAAAAAACCUAUAUAGAGUAAGGCAUAAGCCAUAGAGGUGCAAGCCAGAUUUGGUUAGCCAUUUUAGCUUGAAAUCUUCUAUGAAGGUUCUUGAUGUUAUAGUCAGAGUGAAAGUUCUUUUCAUUUAGAAGUUCCAUUAUAUGCACUGUUUGCUAUUUCAGGGAAUUAGGUAGGGGACUGAUAGUUUUCUGCAUUUUCAGCGGUUCGUUGUUCAUAAUACAAUGUCCAAAUCUAUUGAAAGUUAUUAUCAGGAAGCUGGAAGGGCAGGAAGAGAUGGCCUUCCUGCUACAUGUGUCAUAUUAUACCAAAAGAAGGAUUUCAGUCGAGUUGUAUGCAUGCUAAGAAGUGGGCAGGGCUACAAAAAGGAAAGCUUGAAGAGGGCCAUGGAACAAGCUCGAAAAAUGCAGAAAUACUGUGAACUUAAGGUACGUUAAUUGAUGUCCUAUAGAGCUUUGGUGUCUUGCAUAGUCCUCAUUAUUCUAGCUAACUCUUCUGUUACUGUACAGUCUCUUGAAUCAUCUCUAUGUUAUGUACUUAAUCAUCACACUAUCCUUAAAUUUGCAGACUGAAUGUCGUAGAAAAUUGUUACUUGAACACUUCGGAGAGUCCUUUGACCAAUAUUCCUGCAAGAAUGGUUCUAAUCCAUGUGACAACUGUCUCAAGUCUUCCUCGUGAAGGUUCUACAUUUUAAUCCCAAGAAAAGGCCACAGUACAAAUAUCAAGCUUCUAUUGCUCAACCACCAAAAAAAUCCCGUCUGAAACAUGUACACUUGAAUGGAGAUGGUGACUUUGAAAGUUUUGAGCAGCUAUGUUAUACAUGGUUCAGUCUUGAUAAAGUAAAUUUGACAUGUUUUAUUAUUGACUAGGGUAACCAGUUAUAUGGUCGUCUCAUACAACAAGGUGCUCAUCUUCAAGAGCAAAAGAUGCAUCUUGGAGUAGUAAGUGCAUGUCCUGCACUUAUGGCUCAAAGAGGUGAGAGCUCUUUCUUUACUGUCAUCUUAUAUUUUGUCCCAAAGCCAAGUCAAAUGCUCAGCUUCAAGAAAGCAUAAAUGAAGCGCAUGCUGUUGUGCUGAUAUUGUACAUUUUAACUUACCUCAGCAUAAAUGAGAGAUGUCUAUCUUUAUUGAAUGUUUGUUUCAUCAAAGUUAAAUACAUAUUUGGUUUGUUCCCCAUGAUCUGCCUUGAAGUCUUAUUGCAUGAGUAUUUGUUAGAAACCGCUUCACAUAUGGUAGGAAAUGACAACCCCUUUAUCAUUAAAUUCUUGUCACGGUGGCUUGUUAUUGAAUUUCAUUCACGUAAAUCUUUCCCCUUAUUUAUUUCUUUCUUUCUGUGGCUCUAGCUCCAGUUUUCUUGUUGACUAUACCGUUUCUUGGAUUAAUGCAAGAAUGUAUGUUCUUGUUAGAAGAGUUCCUAGUUUUCAUGUAGUGGCAGCUUUACAGUUGUAUGAUGUAACCCUAUCAUUUGUCCUUGCACCAUCAAAAGAUGUGUAGCCAAUGAGCCUCCUCCUGCCUUAAUCAAGGUUCUGCUUUCAAGUUUUGAGUAUGAAAAAAUCUUUGGUAGAAAGUGUUAUUCCAUAAUGGAUCCUAGCCAGCGUCAAUGUAAAUUAGUUGGGUUUCAAUGUGGGUACCAAACAUGAGAAACCAAAAAACCCAUAUAUUAUUGCAUGACAUAGGGCGUGCAUUCUGCUACACAAUUAUUCAUAACACAACAAAAUAAACCCUUUCUCUUUGGUGUUUUAUGAUGAUUAUGGUCCCAGUGAGGGGUGAUAAAGAACCCUGAUUUGUUCUCCAAUUGUUAAGAGUUAUCCUGAACAGGGGUGAUAAUUGGGUGGGUUGGGUCAAAUUUGAGCGGGCAUAAUGGAUCAAGACAAUAAAUGGGUCAAAGACCCAACUCAACCCAACCCAAAUUUGCUUGGUCAAAACAGGUUGUGUCAAAAAUGAGUUGGUUAAUGGGUUAAGACCCAACACGACCUAAUUUUUACUAAUUUUUCAUUAUGAGUUGUUUUACAAUAUUUUUGUGGCUGAUAAAAUUACUAUUUUUCUUUACUAUGAUUAUAUAUAACAUAUUUGUUUUAAAAAAUAUUUUGACAAGAUUAUUCUCGAGUAAAUUCAGGUUACAUUUCAACCCAAUUUUUAAUGAAUUAAAAUGAAUUGAACUAAAUUUAAAUGAGUUGAAUGAAAUUAAGCGGGUUGAAUUUGAUUUUGAUGUUCCCUAGAUAAACAAAUUAUUCGUAUCCACUACAACGUUGAUCUACUAUAGUAAAGUACCAAAACUGAAGUAAGAAUUGUAUAAAUUAACCACGAUUUAUAAAUAAAUAAAUAAAUAUGACACAAAAAACACAUUUACUUUGGUGCAUGCACCAGGUGGUAUGUACUUUUGAAUUAAUCUAAAUCAAGAAUUAUUCGUCUGAUGCGUGGGGUCUAAAAUAUGAAAAAAGAGCUCAUACAAUUUUGUUUUUUUCUUAUUAGUACCUAUAAUUAAGCCAGUUAUCUUGUUGAUUUAUCAGCCAUAUAUACAUAUGGACUCUUAAUUUUGGUACUUGCUUUCUUGUUACUAUAUAAUAUAACUAUAAAAGAAAGAAAGAAUAAUAAUAAUUCAGUCAGAUGAUUCAAAUGCCGACAGCUCACAUAUCAACUUCCUCCUAACUAUGGAAUAGUUGUUAAUGGGGUCUCUUAGAAGAAGUGCUUUUUAAAUGGUCCUCUCACACUCUAGCCUUUAAAGCUUUAUUCCAAAAUAAAAUUAUAAAUGAGACAAUAAUGUUAUGUUAAAAAGUUAACUAUAUAUGUACAAAUAAAUAGUAAUAAAUUUCGAACUCAAUAAAUUAUUCUUUAAGUACAUAUUUUAAAUCCGUCUUUUAAUAGUGUGUUUGAGAAAAAAUCAGCUAACUUAUUACUAUGCUCAAUGUCAAGCUACUUGAGAUCGACGAUAUAAAUUAUCAAUCUCAUAAAUACUUCCUUCAUCUUAUAUUACCUGUCUGCAUUACUGAUGUCAAUUAACAAAAAAAACUCAAGAUAAAAUUAAUUAUUAUUUUUCUCGUUUUGUCCUUCAUUAAUUCAUUUUAAUAUUUUGAUAUUUAUAGAUAAGACACAUAAAUAAAAAGGUAUUAAAAAGUAAAUUAAUAAAAACAUCUUUCUUAUUAUAAUUUUUGAAAUGACGCAUUAAAAAAAAAUAGAUCAAAGGAUAGGGAGAGGAAAGAUAAGAUAUAGUAAUUAUGAUUGGAAUGGGGAUCUAAGAUAUUAACAUAUAUAGCCAAUGGAAUUUAGAUUUUCAGAAUCUUUUGACCUAAUUCACAUGCAUAAUUUUAUAAAUCCUUUUCAUUUAUAUAUAGUCGUAAAAGGGGGCUCAUCAUGUUUAAUGCCAUGAAGGACAUUGUUACCUAAAAUCCAAACACAUACUUAUCUUAUGAUUUUUCAAUUUCCUUCAAGUUAUUAUAAUCAACAUUUUUAGUGGAAGAACACAAUUUAUUAUUAAUGUAAAAAUAUAUAUGAGUUCGAGAAUUUAAAUUCUAUAACUUGAAAAUAUAAAGAGAUUACAUUUCUUAUGUAAAAUAAAGAUUAUGUUGUUACCUUCUCUACCUUAAGUAUUCAAAAUCUAUUCUAAUUCAGAUUUGCGAUGAGUAAAAUAUUUCUUACUAAAAAGUUUUAAAAUUUAGUACUUUAAUUUUUCACAUCGUAAGAAAUUGUGCAUUAAUAUAAUUAUAUUGUUGUAUUUCCACAUGGCUAUGAUAUGGUCCCCCUAAACCUCAUUUGCUGGUUUUGAAUGUGACAAACUCAUGUUGGACACUUUGAAAAUUUGCAGUGCAAUAUUAAAGUCACCUUUAAUUUUGGGACCUAUCAUGAAUGAUGCAUUCUGCCACAUGAAAAAUCAAUAAUUGUGAGAAAAUAAUUCCAACAAUUACUAAAUUUUGGGUUAGUUUGAUGGUCUACUUUUACUUAUUCAGAUUAAAAAUUUUAAAAAUAACUUAUUACUUGAUUUCUAUUUAUUUAUUUUUGCUAGAAACAUCUAACUCGUAGAACAAAUUCACAUUACAAAACGUUUAAUAUUUAGAACAAGAAAUUAUGCAAAAAAAAAAAAAGGAGAAGGAAAAGUGUUUCUCAGCAAGUAAGUGAAGCAAUAAGUUCUUUUUUUUCAUUCGAUAUUCGGAGCCCACAUGAGAGCCCCGAUUAAAGGAAAAACAUACAAAUUGGACUCGGGAGGCAAAGUAUUUACCCAAAUUGGACUCAACCUAAUAUAUUUACCCUGAUUGGACCUGUGCCAAACUAUUUACCCAACUGCCCUCUUGUUCUAUUCACUAAACCAUUGUUGAUACCAUCGGAGUAUAUAUAUACUCUGAUAAUAUCAAGAAGUAAUUGAGCAGUUUUUUUACUGAAACACUGUCUCUUCCUCCUUGAUAUAUAUAUUAAGAAGUAACCAAGUAGUAUUUUCACUAAAUCAUUGUUUCUUCCUCUUUGAUACCAUCAGAGUAUAUACAUACUUUGAUGGUAUCAAACAGUAAACACGAAUUAAUAGUUAAAAACGGGAGAUAUGAAAGUAAGGGGAUAGCAACUUGUAAAUAGUUUCUCUUUUUGGAAUACAAGUGUUCUUUUCCCUCGAUUAGAUCCGGACCCCUCACCGUAGACCCAUUUAGAAGUGAACUCCCAGCAAAAAAAAUUCAUACUCAAAACUCAAACUCAAACUUAAAACUUUUAAUUAAGGAUGCAUGAAGCAGUUCCACCACUUCACCACUAACUCAAACCAAUAAGUGAGAUCUCAUACAAAGUUGAUCUAAAGGACUUGAAGGAAUAUUUGGAAGUAACUCUACUAGUAUACUAAUUUUUUUUACUAAUAUAUUAAAAAGUAGUACCACAAGUCGAGUAUAAUGUACAAGGCAAUUAGGUUAGGAAAGUCAAAUUGAAUCAAAGCAAUUACCUUGGAAUUAUUGAAAUCAUAUAUUCUUUUAGAUAUUGUGUCCUCUCAAAAACAGAAAAAGGAUACUCCCAAUACUCAUCUUUUGUUACACCUUGUUGGCUCUUGAAACAAUAAAAACAAAUUAACAAAUACCACCUUUUCCUCCUUCUCUCUAAUAAAAAAAAGAAAGAUAAUUAAAAUAAUCACACUAGGAAGAUGGAGUAUAAAGGGUAAGAAAAAAGAGAAAAAGAUAACUCUUUUUAUAUUGCUUUAGUUAAUUCAAUUUUCAAUCUAAAUAUUUUGUAUAACCUAGAUUAGAAAAUAGUAGGGAUGUACAGAAUUAAACCAAAAAUUGAAUCAAAUCGUAAAUUGAGUUAAAAUUUAAAUCGAAAAAAAAACUCAACUAAUGAUUUGGUUUGAUUUAGUUUGAUAUUGGCAAAAACCUAAUUAUACUUGGGUUGGUUUGUUUUAACUAAAAAGAGUCAAUCCGUGACCAACCCGACAUUCUAUUUAAUUUUUAAAAUUUAUUUUAUACACAAAAAUAUUUAUUUUGAUAUAAUUUCUAAAUAUUUCUUGUACUUUUUUUAUAAUUUUUAUCUUUUAACAUAUUAUUUCAAAUUUUUGAGAUUUAGAAUUUUGAAUGAUCUAAUAAAGGUUAUAGUCCAUAGAUAUUAAUAACUCUAACAAAGCUCAAAUCAAAACCAAAUUAGUACUGACGCUAACAAAAAAAAUAUUAAUUCAACACUAAGAUUGACAAUAAUGUUGAAAAUUUGUUCUUUAGUUAUUAAAAUAAAUAAAUUGUUCUUUAGUUUUACAUCGGUUCAGACAUUUAAAAUACAUAAUUAAUUUUAACUUUUCUUUAAUGUUUAAUCAUGUAACUAAUACUUAUUAGAUUUAAUUUAGUAUGAUUUAGUACUUUUAAAUUAUGACCAUUUUCAUUAUGACUAAUUAAUUUGCAAUAUUUAUUUUAUGCGAUUUUAUUAUUAUUUUUUAUUGAAUUUUUUAGUGUCAUCACUCAUCUCAUAUUUUGUGUUGUUUUCUUAAGUAACACCUUAAAUAGUUGUAUUUUGGUAGAACUUGGAGCACAAGAAAAAAAUCAGAGGUUGAAAAAUUCGAGUUUUAUUAGUUUAGUUUAAUAUAUGAAUUUAAAAAUUCAAUAUAAAUAAUUUGGUUUGAUAUUUGAAAAAUCCCAACUUAACCGAUCAUGUAAGCCCUACUAGUAAGUAACUAUAUAAUUUUGUAUGUUUACGUAUCAUAUACUUAUAGUUUUUGUAUAUUUCAGUUGUAAUGGUAAAAAAGUUUAGUCAACUACAUACAUAUUAAUGAGUUUUUGUAUAAACAACGCAUAGAUUUGGUAUAUUUUAGUCAUAAUAAUAAAUUUAGUCAAACUAUACAUAUUAAUAAGUUUUUUUUAAAAUAAAAUAAAAUGACUGAUUAUCUCAAAUUCAAUUCAAUAGAUUUUCAAUUUUUAGGGAGGGAAAAAAUAUUAAUGAUUUUUUUUCAUCAGAUAGAGUUACUCGAUACAUAUUCUAAUUGAAGAUAGUAGUAGGUGUUCCACAAAAUCAACUAAAGUGCACGCAAAUUAAUUCAAACACUAUAAUUAUAACAUAAUCAAUGUAAAGAUUUUGUAUAUUUCGAUCAUAAUACUAAUUAAAUUUAGUCAAACAAUACAUAUUAAUAAGUUUACUUUUUUUAUAUUUUUUUUACUCAAUAGAUUUUUAAUUUUCAGUGAUGGAUAAAAAUAUUAAUGAUCUUUAUCCAUCUAUUCAGAUCGAUCAAAUAGAAUUACUCGAUACCUAUUAUAAUUAGAGAUAGUACAUAGGUAUCCCAUUAAAUCAACGAAAGUGCAUACAAAUUAAUUCAAACACUACAAUUAUAACACAAUCAAUGUAUAAAAUUUGUAUAUUUCGGUCAUUAUAGUAAUUAAAUUUAAUCAAACAAUACAUAUUAAUAAGUUUUACUUAUUAAUAUUAUUUUGAACUUAAUAAAUUUUCAAUAUUUUAGCGAGGGAAAAAGGUAUUAAUGAUUUUUUUCCAUCUAUACAAAUAGAUUAGAUAGAGUUACUCGAUACCUACUGUAAUUAGAGGUGCUCAAUAAAAUCAACUAAAGUGCACACAAAUUAAUUCAAACACUUCAAUUAUAACAUAAUCAAUGCAUAAAUUUUGAAUAUUUCGAUCUUAAUAGUAAAUAAUAUUAGUCAAACAAUACUUAUUAAUAAAUUUUACUUUUUUAUAAUUUUUUUACUCAAUAGAUUUUCAAUUUUCAGUGUUGGAAAAAUAUAUUAAUACUUAGAUGCCCCAGAAUAUCAACUAAAAUGCACACAAAUUAAUCCGAACAUUCUAAUUAUAAAAUAACAAAAUAAUUUAUUUAAUAUCAUUUUGAAUAUGUGACCGCAUCAUCAAAUAAUGAUUACCUUUAUUAUAAAAUGGAAAAAAGAAAAAGUAAUGCUUUGUUUAUUUGAUUAUGUUAGUAUGUAUUUAUUAAGUUUGUUACAUUAAAAAAGAGGUGAAAUUCGAAAAAAGAGAAUUUCCUUGUUAUGUAACGGUGAGGACGUUGUCUCUUCAGUCUCAUUUUCUUUCUUUUAACUCUUCACUCUCACCUUCCUCUUUUAAUUUCAAAUUCACUCCCCUCUCUCUCUCUCUCUCUCUCUCUCUCACACACACACACACACACACACACAGUAGCAUACAUUUUCCUCUCAGCUCUUCAUUUACCUUUUCUCCACCAUCUCAUCGAUCGUUUAUUUGUUUUGAAAACCCUAGGUUUGUUUGUUGCUUCAACUACAGUUCAGAUCUUACUUUUUAUCUUCUUUGAUGGUGGGAACAAUGUGCGAUUUGACUAAUUUGAAGAUUCACUGGUGAGUUUGUUACUGGAUUGUUCCGAGUUUUUUGUAUUUGUUCCUCAUUGUUAUUUGAUUAAUUUUGUUUCUAUUUAGCACAAGAUUCGGGGUGUUUUUGGCUGCUUUAACAAAAUGCUUUUACAUAUAUGGGUUUACAUGUUUACUUUGAUGUAGAAAUUUAAUUGUGGGAUCUUCGAGAAUCUUCCAUUUGCUCAAAUGAAGUAGUGCUGGUUAGAAAGAGUUAGGUUUCAGCUUUGUGAUAAUUGCAUCUUUUAGCUGGUUUCUCGAAAUGCUGUGUGUGUUUGUUAUGGAGGAUUAUGCUUUUCUGAAAAAUAAUUUCCUCUGGGAAUUUGUAAGCGAGAAAAGAGGAAAUGAAUUCCGUUGCUAUUGAGAAUAUUUCCUUUAUGAAUAUCAACCUCUUAGCCCUUACGGGUUGUUUGGUUGAUGGGAUAAGGAUGUUCUAACCCUGAUAUAGAAUUCAGUAUAUUACUUAUGCAACGGUUACUAAUACAUAUAUUGUUUAUAUGAGAAUUUGUGUUAUUAAUUACACGGGAUGUGGACAAAUAAAUAUAGACAAUUCCUACAAAACACUGCUUUUUUAUUAUUUAUCGCAUGACAAUUCCUAGGUUAUUAUUAUCUUUUGGUAAUUGAUAAUUGAGAAAUCUGCAAGGGCCAGUGGCGCAUAGUUCGAAUCUUGAUAGAUAAUGGCCCGCUCCUCUAUCCCUCUCUGCUUGAAUACUAGGAUUUUAUCUGCUUUAAGGUGUGAACAUGUGCCUAACCAACACAUUAUGUGUUGCACUAUCACCACUAGACUUACAUUCCCGGGCAUCAAUUCCAACAUUAUCAUUCUCCACGUAAACAAACAUGUAUUAUAAUCCAUGUGUAACUAAAUUGUAAACCAAAUAACACCUUAUAUCAUAUAAUUUCAACAAUAAUCAACAUGUAGAUAUGGAUGUCAACUCUUAGUACUCAAAAGUACAAGAAUACUACAAGUAUACCCUUUUGUAACCAUAUACAAUUUGUAUAUGUUACCUGCUUUUAUGCCCAACCAGAUAUCACAGAGAAUUUUCUAUGGAAAACAUUCUUCUCCAUUCUAAACACACUCUUAAAUGGAAGUUGUGUGAAGUUGGUUGCAAAGUCUUUGUUUCCUCUGAUUACUUGUUUACUUCAUUCUUUGUAGAACAUCUGGGACCUGAUGCCUUGAAAAUUUCCAUUCUUGACAACAGAUUUUUGUCUGAUUUUGUUUGUUGAUACAUCCACAUGGGAGCAUUGUUCUAUUAAAUGAGAAAAUGGAGGUUGAAAAGAGAACUUCAAAGGGAGGCUUUCUUCAGCUAUUUGAUUGGAAUAUCAAAUCUCGGAAGAAGCUUUUCUCUAACAAGUCUGAACUACCUGGUAACUCCUUUUCUCCUUGCCUGUUGGCAGUUGAAGGCCAUUUUUCUUGUAACUGAUGCUUAUUGAUGAAUAUUUUGCUAUCCCAUGUUCCUGUAGAAAACUCUAAACAAGGAAAAGAAAAUGCCAAUGGAUCAGCCAAUUUAAGACUUCAGCAGGUAACUAGUUACCUUGCUCUGCUAUCUCCUCUCAAAUAAUUCAAGACAUUAUCUCUAUGACUGUUUAUCAUAUCUUUUGAUCUGUCAUUUUGAUAAUCUGUAUAUUAUUGAAGGCUCAUGAUCAUAGUCUUGGUUCCAACUCCAAGCAGAACUAUGAUUUCUAUAGCGCUUCAUCAGUAGCUGAGGAUGAAAGUUAUGGUCAAAAAGCACCUGGGGUUGUUGCACGUCUUAUGGGAUUGGAUUCUUUGCCAACUUCAAAAGAGUCUGAUCCCUAUUUUAACUCAUCCUCUGAUUGUCACUCCUUCAGAGAUUCUCCAUACCUAAGUUUUAUAGCUGAUUUCCAGAAUGAACAUCAUAUGAUAGUCGAUGGUAACAUGCGAAAUAAAUUGGAUGGAUUUAAGAGAAACCCUGUUGAAGUAGGGCUGCAGAAGGUGCAGAGCCGGCCCAUCGAGAGGUUUCAAAGUGAGGUAUUGCCUCCAAAAUCAGCUAAACCUAUUGCAGUUACUCAACCCAGAUUGUUAUCUCCUAUCAAGAGUCCUGGGUUCAUCCCUCCUAAGAAUGCAGCUUACAUAAUAGAGGCAGCUGCUAAAAUAUACCAGCAGAGUCCUCGACCCGCUGCCAGAGAAAAGGUGCAAUCUUCUGGGUCUUCCUCUGCCCCUUUGAGAAUACGGGACUUGAGAGAUCAAAUAGAGGCUGUUCAGAGACAGUCUAGUAUUUAUGAAGCACUGCACAGGCCAAAAGAACAAAAUUCUGUAAAAAACGUCAGAAGACAACCCUGUGAAAGAGUCCAGGUUCAAUCAGAUAAUAUGCGUCAAUUGAGGGUUUCUGAGGUAUCAAGAAGAGAUAUAUCCCAAAAUAAGGGGAAGGAGAAGUCAGUUUCACUAGCAGUUCAGGCAAAGACCAAUAUUCAGAAAAGAGAGGGGAAGGAAUCUACCUCUAGUAAGAACCCAUCAAACCAGAAAGAACAGAAUGAGUCUAAGUCUGGUCGGAGGCGGCCAAGUGUAAAAGGGGGGGAAAGGAAAAAUUCACUCAACCGGCCUUCUGAUGUGCUCAGGCAGAACAACCAGAAGCAGAACUCUGCAUCUAAUAAAGACGGGGAGAGUUCGAAAACUUCAGCUCCCUACCAAAAAGAGAAAAAAUUAUCAUCUACUGGUAACAUGUCUAGGUCAACCAAGACUGUAAGUAGAAUUGUUGUAAAUACCACAACUGCUACCGGAAUUGCAAGUAUUGUAGAAACUGACGUUGGAAAGGACCUUUCAUCAUCUAGGGACUCCAGAGUGAGUUCCUUUACUGGAAAGAAACAGUCAGUCAAUGUCGAUAUUGGUUCUGAUGGAUGUGGUGCUGACAAUAUGAUGAAGAGUAAAGAUGAGAGGUCUAUAAAAUGUAACUUAGCUAUUGAAGGAUGCUCCAAUUGGGAAACAGCUGACAGGAAAAAUGGGAGUGAUGUAGUGUCAUUUACUUUCACCUCACCCAUCAAAAAAUCAAUGACUGGCCCCACAUCAUCAAGUCAUGUUUUGGAAAAGAACAAUGCUUUGUGUCUCUUUCCAGGUUCUUAUGAUGAUCAGUCUGAUUCAAGGACAUCAACAAUGCCUUCUUUUCCCAUUGGUGGUGAUGAUUUAGGUAUUCUCUUAGAACAAAAGAUUAAAGAAUUAACUUCUAAAGUCAGACCAUCUUGUGAAGAUUUCAUCAAAACGGGGACUGCUUCUAUUUCUGCCAGUACUUUUGAAGAUAGUGUGUCCAUUGUAGCACAUGGGAGGAGACCUCAAGUUGAUUUGCUUAAUGAAAAAGCAGGUGACCAUGGUCACUCUUCUGUUGAUGACCUCCGGCUUACUGCAACUCAGAUGUGGCAGGUAUUUCUGAAAUUCCCUUAGCUUCAAAAUGCCAUUUUUAUGACUAAAACACCAACCGACCCCUAAACGAACUCAGAUAAAAAAUAGGAACAGGUAAAGCAAUGAGAAAUUGGAAUGUAGAUGAUGAUCAUAUGUGUAAGAAACUUUUGACAUAGCAUACCACAUUUUUGUCAGUGUAUGAAAGUGCGCAUAUACUUGUUCCUCGGUGAAAAGAAAUAGAGGAUCUCCAAGUCAUGUAUCAUUUAGGAAAUUACUUAUGAAUUGUGGGUGAGGUCAGGUGCUUAGGAGGUACAUCAACAUGAUAAAUGCGUAUAUGGCUAACAGGUACCCAAAUGUGAAAAUGUGUCAUGACCACUUUGCAUGAAUAACGGCUAGGGUUAGGAAUUCUUCGAAGUUGAACUGUCCAGCUUCCUUACUGAGCCGAGAUCCAAGUAAAUAACUUUGGGUGUUUUUAUUUCUUUUGCUAAGUCGUGUAGUUUAUUAUGUGAAAUAGCAGUCGAGCUCAACAGGAGGCUGUGAAAAUAAUUUUGAUGUUUUUUUGUUUCUUCUUAUUUGACUAGUCAUUUAAGGGUUCUGAAAUGAUUUAUUUUUUUAAACUGGUAACUUGGGGUUCUGAAAUGAUUUUCGAAGUCAUCAUUUUUACCUUUGAUUUCUCAAUCCUAUAGAUGACAAAAAGAGUAGCUGUAGACAUAUAAAAGGCUCUCCCUACUGUAAGCCAAAGAUGUCUGGGGUCCCCCGUCUCCUUUCUUUUUCUUUUGUUUAGUUGAAACCACUGAAUGCCAGAUUUAGAUUCAUAAAAAGCAUUGCAGUCUUAUAAAUUUUGUUACUUCUGAUGAUAUGAUUCUAAAAUGUUUUGGAAUCCAUGCAGACCUUUUCUUUGAUAAACUAAAUCCAUGUGAACUUAGCAAAGAACAAGACAAUGGAAGCAGAAUAUCCAUAUAUACACUAUACAUUUAGUUGGAAUUAAGGUUUAGUAAUUGUUGGUAGGCUUGCAUUACGUCUGAUAUCUGACAAAGUGCAUUUCAGCUUGGUUAUAGAGAUUAUAUGUCAUGUAGGGGCAAGUGUGAGGUUUAGAUAAUUCCUAGUUUUAGUAUCCCUAGUUUGUCCCAUUGUACAAAUUAUAAAGUAUUGGAAAAAAAUGGAUGAACAUGGAAUAAAAUUGAUGUUGAGAAUUUAUAUGCAAAACCAACUAAUUCAGGAUUGAGGCGUUAUUGCAGUUGUUUGUUACCCUAUUUCUGUAUUAUACUGUACUGCUUUUUCUUAGAAAAGGAAAAAACAGUAUGAUGUACCAGGCUGAUCUUAUCUGCAUCAAUUUCAGGGUCCAAAUAGGGUAGAAAAUCCUAAAACUGCCAGCAGAUUUACGUGUGAAGGAGAAUUUAGUCUCCCUUGCACUAGUCUGGCCUCAAGUAUGGAACCUUCUAUCUCAGGAGGCAGUUGCAACUCUUUGGAUAGCUACAGAAGUUUAGCCACUGAUGGUAAUAAUACUGAUCUUUAGUUUCCUCCUUUUGUUUCCAUCCUAUUUAAGAUUGUGAUGAUAUUUCUGUUGUUUUAUUUUGACUCUCUGUAAGAAGGCGUUUCGUAUUAUAUUUUAAUCUAAAAAGUAGAAACUUUGCCACUUCAGGCUAAAUGCCCAAGCUUGUUAGAUGGAUGAAAAUGGAAAACAAGAAAACAAUUUGGGAAACAAAGGAUUACCUUAAGGUUACAUUUAUUAGAGCUAUAGUUUGGGAUAAGAUUAUUUUAUAUAAUUUGCUCAUAAUCACAUGAUCAGAUAAAUUUUGGUAAAGUUCUCUUUUCUCAAUUCCAUAAACAAAAAUGAUCUUCCUGCUCUUCAGGUGAAAUUACUUGUCCUAUUUGCAGUCUCUUUUUUGCUAAAACUAUUCAGUGGUAAUUACCAACAUACUUCCAUUUUUCCCUGAAAAAAUAUCAAUUAAAUCCUGACGGAUGAAACUUAUGAUUCAGGGAGCAAGUAUCAUCUGUCUGAUGGAUCUCACGAAAUGAUGAAUUGGAAAACCUACAUGAGGACCCAUUUUGUGGAAGGUGAUGCAGAGUUGUUGGACUCAGCCUCUUCCGUUUCUCUUGCUGAUGCAGGUGAAAAGGAUUCAACUGCUACAUCGACUUCCACAAAUUUCAAUGAAUCACCUUACUGGGAGUUUAAUUAUAUCAGAGAUAUAAUUAGAAGCUCAGACUUGGUAAUGGAAGAAUUCUUGUUGGGUGAGGUUCCGAGCAUUAUUGCUCUUGAUCUCUUUGACAAGUUGGAGAAUCAGAAGGCUGGAACCAACAAAAAUGCAGAGGAGCAGCUGAAGAUUCGGAGAAGAGUUUUGUUCUAUUCGGUAGUCGAAUGCCUGGAACUCAGAUGCAAACUGAGUUUUGGCAGAGGUGUUGAAGCUUGGGCAAAGUGGACAACAUUGGUCCAAAGAAAUGAGUGGUUAGCAGAAGAAGUGUAUAGAGAGAUUGCUAGCUGGACAAGCAUGGAAGAGUUGAUGGUGGAUGAGAUUGUUGACAAGGACAUGAGCACUCAAUACGGGAAGUGGACCGAUUUUAGCUUUGAAGCCUACGAAGAGGGUGUUGACAUUGAGAAGGAGAUCCUUUCAUCUUUGAUGGAUGAAUUGAUCGGUGCCCUAAUGUGAAUGAGUCCUCUUCUGGCUUUAAUCAACAUGAAGUUUUAUACUUUAGCUUUGCUACUUUACAGUUUCCUUGUGCAUUGUUCUUUAUUGCUCAUCUUCAUUUAAGCAAAGAGAUCAGUGGAUCAAGUGAUUGUUCAUAUUUUUAUUUUCUUAGAUAGUAUCAUGGUCUGGUGCAUUAUCCUUUGAACGCGAAUGCGCGAUGAAAAGUCUUUCUGCUUAAUUUCCGCUGAUUUUUGUCGUGUGGUAUUGAUAGGUGAUCCCAGAAUUUGUAGAGUAUGUUCUGGGUUUGAGCUCAAGCUCUGUUCUCAUGCCUCUUUUUUACUCUAUAAAUGAACUGCUGCAAGAAUUUUUGGAACAGAAACAUUUCUAUAUCAAUGGAUGAUUCAAACUGAAAUCUUAAGUUUUAUUUUCUAAUUUUGUAAUAUUAUUACGACUACACUAUUUAGAGAGUUAAACUAUGAUUUAUAUUACUGUUUAAUUUCCAAAAAAAAACAUAAAUAAGACGUGAUGAUUUGAGUUAACAAUGACAAUGGGCUUAAGAGAGUCGUGAGUCGUGACACAAAGGAAAAUCAGAAAGGUGGUCCUACUGGGAACAGCCGUCCACUUUGGCCGCCGGCGAAGCUCUGACAAAGUAACGUGCACCCCCAACCCCACCCCCACGCAAAUCUAAUCUGGUAUUACAAUGAAUCUUCUGAAAAAGAAGCAGACAAUGACUUCUGUCAAAAAGCCCAACCACUAUAUUCUCAUCUAAAAUAGUAAAUCAUUGUUUCACUUCAUUGAAAGAAAAGCGGUAGAAUAGUUGAGAUUCCUACGCUACAUUAAUCAAUGAUCUCAAAUUUAAGCUAAGAUCGAAAAGUUUAAAUUGUUAAAGACGUCAUCCUUAUAGUACUUAUUAGUUAAUGAGUUCUAAUGGUUAGGUUUAUUUUAUCUAAUGCUUUGUAAUAACAAUUUAUGUAGAUUAAGAUUGUCAAAAUUAUUUACUUUUUGUAUGUGUCAUGAAAUUCUAUCUUGUACUAAUAAAAAAAUAAUACUCGUAUUCUUGGUUGAUGGUGACUAAUUAGGAAUGAGUCAUCCCAUUUAUAUCUUGUCCAUUUAACAUAAAUCCAGCAAGUAGAUGAAGUAUAUAUAUGAAGAUAACUUACUGUUUAACUACCCCCACCGCCCAAGUUUGAUGGACUCCUCUCUUAAUGACAUCUCACUUAUCUCCAUGUCAUAAUAUUUCUUCUUUUUUAAUUUUUUUUCUUAAUUUAUUUAUAGAUAUAUAAUAAUCUAAUGCCCAAAAUUUAAUUGUACAAUUAUUCCAAAUUUGUACACGGUAGAAUUUAUCAAGAAAGCGUUCAUUAAUUAUCAAGGGUUUCUUAACACAUAUCUUGAUGGUGACAUAAUAUACGGAAGGGGAUGUAAAGACUUUAGUGAUAAUCAAACCUUUAAUCUGAAAAUAUGAGAUAAUUAACAAUUCUAAUAGAGAUUUAUUUUGCAAUUAUUCUCUAUAUAUGCAUACUGAGAGAUGAUGAUUUUCAUAUUGGAUUUCAUCAUGAAUUUGACGGAUUAUUAAUGAGCAUUACUAACAAGUAACAACGAAUAAUGGGCAUUUUGAAGCCAGUUGAAUCUAGAAGACUCUAAACUCGCUUAAAUCAACCCGCGUAAACAUUGACAAAUCUACUUUGGAUCCUUGUGUUUUGAAGAUUCUUUUUGUUUUUGUCGAAAUGCCUUGGCACAUAGGCAAAUGGCAGUUUUCUACUUUCUAAUCAAGCAACAGAUCUACAAAUAAUUUGACAAAUUUAUAACCUCACCGAUUAGAUCUUAGAACUUAAUUUGAGAUAAUGGGAUAUGGUUGUUUAACAAUACUAAAAUUAGUCACAUCACAUUGUAAUUAAGUGUAGAUCAAUUACAAUGACAAAUAUAGCUAUUAAUUAAAACAACCCGUUCAUUCGAAUAUAAUAUUUUCACACAAAACAUACAUAUAUAUUAAAAAUCAAACUUUUCAAUUUUAAAUUCUGAAUUAACUUCAAUUAAAAGUAAGGCUCGAUAAAAAAGAUAUGGUAGACACUAAAGACCAAAACUUAUAUACCACCACAAAUAUAAAGACUUUGUGCAAGAUUUUUAAAUUAAGUCUUAGAUCUAAUUCACACCCCAAAGAAUAGCUCAAAUGAAGGAAGAUUGUUCAAGCCUUAUAAGGAGUUCACCCAUCUCAAUAACCACCAAUAUGAGACUUUUUGCUUUAACACCCCACCUUACGUCCAAUGCUUAGCAUCUGGUGCGUGGACAAUUUUUUGAUUUUUUUUGGGUCCCAACAUUGGAUGAGAUGGGCCCUGCUCUGAUACCAUGUUAAAUUAGGUCUUAAGUCUAACUCACACCCCAAAAGAUAGCUCAAAGGGAGAAGGAUUGUUCAAACCUUAUAAGGAGUCCAUCCAUCUCAUUAACCACCAGUGAGACUUUUUACUUUAACACUUUUUUUUUCCAACAAUAAUUUAAUUUGGUAAGGGAUUAAUUUGUAAUUUGGAUAGUCCAUAAUUAACAAUGCGAGAUACAUGAAGAAAACUUGCACCACAUGCAAAUAGAUCUCUCAUUAAUUACUACUAAUAUUUUAUAUUAACAAGUAGAGAGGGAUAAACAUGCAUGAUGGGAUUGUUGAUUGUUAGAGAGACUCUCCAUACUUUGACCAACACCUCAUGUGCAUUCUUUUUGUCAUUUGCUUAUGGAAAUUAUAAUACUUAAAUCCAUUUCACACCCUAAUAUCACAUGCUCCAUCCUCUCAUGCUUUUACUCCCUCUAAUUUUGUUUUCUUUGUCUAAUUCUUUUUGGUUUAUUUCAAUACAAUUUAUGGCUAAUAGAAUGACAUAUCAAUUCAGUUGAAUUCAAUAAUUUUAAUUUUAAUUUAUAUUUAAAAAUAUCAUCAUGUGUACAAAAAAUAAAUUUAGUAUCUAGUUAGUAAUUAGUAAUUCUUGAUGUAGUUAUCUUUGAAUUUAAUAAGGAAAAAUUACUGAAAUGCACGUCUUAUGUUUUUCUUAUUUCUAAUAUUCUCUUUUAUUUCUAAAAUCCCUUAUUUCUCUCCUAAUUCUAAAUUAUUUUAGGAAAAAUUACUGAAAUACACGUCUUAUGUUUUCCUUAUUUCUAAUAUUCUCUUUUAUUUCUAAAAUCCCUUAUUUCUCUCCUAAUUCUAAAUUAUUUUUAGGAAAAAUUACUGAAAUGCACGCCUUAUGUUUUUCUUAUUUCUAAUAUUCCCUUCUAUUUCUAAAACCUCUAAAAUUCCUUAUUUCUCUCCUAAUUCUAAAUUAUUUUUAGGAAAAAUUACUGAAAUACACGUCUUAUAUUUUCUUAUUUCUAAUAUUCCCUUCUAUUUCUAAAACCUCUAAAAUUCCUUAUUUCUCUCCUAAUUCUAAAUUAUUUUAGGAAAAAUUACUGAAAUACACGUCUUAUAUUUUUCUUAUUUCUAAUAUUCCCUUCUAUUUCUAAAAACCUCUAAAAUUCCUUAUUUCUCUCCUAAUUCUAAAUUAUUUUAUAAUGUAUCCGAGCUAAUUUUUAACAAAUUGUUUUUUUUAAAGACAAAUUAUGAAUUAUGACAAGGCAUUUUAACUAUAAUGGGACCGAACGUUUAACUCGGACGUACACGAAUUGCCUCAAGAAUCCUUUUUAAAAAAAUUUGUUUUAGAAAAAAUUAAAGAUACAAUUAACUAUAAUGAAUUCCGCAAGUAUUUUUUAUUAUUUAUAAGAAUUACAAGUCUUGAGGCAGAUUGUACAACUUUAUUAUUUACAACAUUAAUUUGUCCUCUGCCCCCCCACACAAUUUUUUUAAAAAGAAAUAGUGUGUUAAUUAUAAAUAAAUAUAUACAAAGUAACGUUAUCAAGAUACUAAGUCAUAGAAGAAUGUCUACCAAAUUAAAAUUUUACUAUUUUAAUUACGGGAAAAAGGACAAAUAUACCCCUGAACUAUCGUAAAUGGUAUGCAGAUACCCUCCAUCAUAUUUUUGGGACAUUGAUGCCCCUGUUGUCCAAAAACUAAAGCAUAUAUGCCCUACACUCUAACGAAAGACUAAAUAGGGACACGUGGCGCAAUCUUAUCCGUUGAUAAAUAUCGGAUCGGUGGAUAAGAUUAUGACACGCAUAUGUCCGUUCGUAUAAAGGGUAUAUAUGCUCUAGUUUUUGGACGCAGAGGCACCAAUGUCCCAAAAGUAUGACGGAGGAUAUUUGCAUAUCAUUUACGAUAGUCCAGGGGUAUAUUUGUCCUUUCUCCCUUUAUUUACUACAAAAUAUUUAUAAGAUCAGUUAUAUUAUAUUGUAGUGAAUGUUGAGCUGCUAAAAUCUAAUAUAUCUACGAGAUAAAUAUUACAUAUAUGAAUAUCAAAAUAAAUCUAUCAUAUAAAAUUUGAAUAAAUAAAACAAAUCAUCAUAUGUAGUCACCAUAAGGUGCACGUAUAUAUGAGAAAAUUUCACUUGAAAUGAUUCGUGAUUUGCCUUGACCUAGAAUAUCUUUUAAAAUGAUAUUUAAAACAUAAAUCUAAAGUAAAAUAAAAUCCUGAGAUAAUUUUGUACUAUAAAUAAGGAAAUUAUUUUAUAAAGGGAUAAAAAUAAAAUAAAAAGUGCUACAACUAAAACGUGUCGAGCACUGAUUGGCUACGACAAAUCCUCCUCACCAAACUAUGAUAUAGGAAAGGUGAGAAGGUGCUCCGUAUUCUAUAAUCUGCUUAGAUUCAUUAAUCUUAUGCAGAUUAAUUUUACAGAAUUAAUAAUAUAAUAAAAUUAGUAAUGUUGACAGUUUAUAGAAUAUUGUUUUAUCAAUGAUUAAUUAUUAAUUACUCCACUAAUUAACCUUAUGCCUCGUGUUGGCUGCCUUAAGUCAGAAUCCUAUGGAGAAGGCCUUUGUUCACCUCCUUCUCGAGUCUAUGUGUACACCCUCAACUAAUCUAAGGCCUUGUUUGCAUAAUCAAUUGAAAAUUUAAAAAUAUAAUUUAGGAAAAGUGAAAUAACAACUUAUCUAAACCUUUUUGACCUCUCUCAAGGUUUUGGCUCAAUAGUUUAACCGUCGUUUGGUAGAAAGUAUAAGUCAUGAUCUUCUCUUACGAACUGACAAUGGUGUAAUAUGAGUUGCAGGUAUAGUUUUGUUAUGACUAUUGCUCAGGAUGACUUGUCAAGUAAUCUAUAGUAUUUCGUCACGACUAUCUUCAUUUUGGUUAUUUAUACUACGUUGGAGUGUUUGUUAUUGAAUCAAUAGUCUAUCGAAAACAGUUUGUCUACAACUAAGGCUAUUGUAAAAAUCUGUGUACACUAUGCAUUCUCUAGAUACUACUUUAUGGAAUUAUACUAAACAUAUUCUUGUUAUCAAUAACAACUACAAGGAGGUAGUAUCAUGAACAAAUUGCAGACAUCUCAAUAUAUACUUAAAAAGUAUUACACGACAAAAUUAAAAAUAACUCAACAUCUACUAAAUAUAUAAAAAAUAAUUUUAAAAAUAUAAAUAAUAUAAUUUUUCAUUAAAGAUGGUCCAGGUAAACUUUCGAUCGUAUACGUAACAGAAAACGUGGAUGCACGAAAAUGGAUACGCAGGGUAAGUAUGGUGAGAAUGCAAAACAGAGGAAGAAAAGACCUCGAAACAAUAGGCUACAGGGGAACGUGCCGAGCUCUGUUAUUUGCAGGCUAAUAUAUGUGUGGUCCAUUGUACUUCUUUCCCAAUUCCCUAAGUUUAACUUUAUUCUAUUCUAUUAUAACCCCCUAACCUCUUCUCCCUAUGCUCUUUUAAUCCUUUCUUUUUAAUCUUUAAUCUUUUCAUGCCUAUUUGCCCAUUUUAUAAAUCUAGACUUUUUAGCGUAUUUUCUCCGUUCAAAAAUAGUUAUACCCUAUAUUAUUUUGAAAUGUUCAAUAAUAUUUGUCUGCUUUAUAAAAUUAAUAAAUAACUUUUAUACUUAGUUCCUAAUUUAUCUUAUUAUUAAUUAUAGUUAUUUUCCUAUUAUAUUUAUUACAUUCAAAGGGUGAUAUAGUAAAAAUUGACAUUUUAUUUAUAAUUUCUUAAGAAAUGUGCAUAGUCAAUAAUGAACGAGUAUUGUUGAACGGAGAGAGUAUUUACCAUAUUUAAUUAACCCUAUCUCAAACAAUAAACCAAUUUCCUCAAAGUCAUAAACAAAAUAUUUAUGCUAUUCCCAAUUACCCCUAGAGGCUAAAGGGAAAACAGGAUUCUAAAAUCAGCCAAAACAAGGUUAUGGCUAAGGGCUAUUGGAGUAGUAGUAAAAUAUAUCUCCAAAAGUCAAAAUAUAUCUCAAUUGGACUUGGAAAAUUGACCCCCCCCCCCCCCCCCCCCCCCCCACNNNNNNNNNNNNNNNNNNNNNNNNNNNNNNNNNNNNNNNNNNNNNNNNNNNNNNNNNNNNNNNNNNNNNNNNNNNNNNNNNNNNNNNNNNNNNNNNNNNNNNNNNNNNNCCCCCCCCCCCAAUAUUUCCUCUUUGUUUUUCCUAUUAAGAAAAUUUGUUGUGCUAGACUAAUUUGGCAUGUAUAUAGAUUUGAUGACUUUUGCUUACCCUUUUUUUUAUUGAAAGGAAUUUAUCCAUUGGUUCAUACCCUAUAUUUGGCUAAGGUUUAAGAUGAUACAAAAAAAUAAAAAUAAGAAAGUGGCAAGUUAAUGAUCAACUUGUCUUUGAGUUCUAUAUCUUAUACUAUAAUAUAGUAUAAUCUUGAUGUUGGACAUGUAGUAGUAUUUUAGUUUUGUCAUUUUUAUAGGCCGAUUAAUUAUUUGGAUGGUUUCGGAGUAUCAAAGUUUGACACACUCCAUUGUUAUUUCUAUUCCCGUAAAUUUAUAAAGUAGAAAUUAGAUCUGCGUUUAUAAUUUUAUUUUCAAAUUUGACUUAUAGAAUUAGACUUGAUACGUUAUUGUAAUAUCACAUAUAAUUUAAAGUUAUUUGAAUUAUAUUAUCAAUAUUUUCUUUAAGGUAAACUCCUCUUAUGAAAAACUAAAAGCAGGUUUAAUUUGAAUUGACUUUUAACUUAUUUUUUAUCAUUUUAAGCUUAAAACUUAUAAGCACUUUUUUGUGUUACCCAAUCACUCCAAAAGUACUUUAAAAUUAUUUUAACUUAAAAGCACUCAAAAUAAUUUAAUCUAAAUAAGCUCUAAGAAUGUUUUAAUAAUCUACGAUUACCAUGUAAUUACGAAUGAGUACAGUUGAAAUUUUAAUUUCUUAAAUUAACUUUUUGGAAAUCAAGAUUUAAAAACAAUUGAAGAAAGAGCCAAUAAUAUUGCUAUCCCAAAUGUAAAUAAUAUAUAAUAAAAGAGGAGUGGAUGAGACAAAAGAGAGGACAAUUAUAUUAUGUAUAUAUUUUUGGAGAGGAGCAAUAAUUUAGGCCUUUUGCUUAUGUUGGGACAUGGCAUGGCAAGAGUACUAGCAAUAGUAAGCCACAAGAAAUGGAGUGACCUUUUCCACACUUUUGGAAAGCAAAUAUCAACAUAUUAUGGAUCUAGUCUUUAGUAUAUUUCUUACUCCAGUAUUCUUACCAUCAUUUGCUUUUGUCUUACACAUAAUAAUUCAUACCAAAGUUUCAUGCAUGCCAGGAGAUCUCUAAAAUGUUACUUCUUGAUAAUAUAUGUUCAUCAUGAAGAAAAAAAGAAGAGGAAAAAAUGAUUAUAUUUAGACAUUCUAAUUGGUCAAGAAUUCUAGUCCCCUUGACUAUGUACUAAUGAUGAUACCCAAUAUCAACGUGAGGUGAGAUAUGGUAUAAUGGUGAAACUGUUUUACCUUUAACAAGAUGUUUCAAAUUCAAUUCUUGGAUAUGGAGAAAAUUUUGUUGGAAACGUCACUCCUGAAUGAGCCCUGCAGUCGAGCCCUAGAUACAAAUUUUUUUUUGUUGGGAACAUCACUCCCGAAUGGGCCCUGUAAUGUGCAAUCUAAACAUCGGCCGUGGAAAACCAAAAUUAAAAAAUGAUGAUACCCUAUCUAAUCUCAUUGACUCAAAAGCACAAGAACUACAAAAGAUUCAUCAUGAUUCAUGUAUUGCUUUGAGAUAUUGCAACAAUGAGUUUCUAAAAGUGUGUGCAAAUAUUAUCUUUCAUCAAGUGGUGCUUCCUUUGAACACAAGAAACCAAUUGUUUUUGUUUAUUUUAUGCUAAAAAGAUAGGGUAGUAUAUUAAAAAAAUCAUUGUUAAAAAAUAUAUUAAAACUUUCCAGCCUUUCCUAAAUGACUAUUAUGCUUCAUUAGUGUUACUAAAACUCAUUACAAUUAAUUAUCCUCUUGAGACUAGAGACUGAAUACGUAUUGCUUUAUGUAAUAUUGCUUUAUGUAAUAUAAUCGAAAAUAGUGGUUAAAAGAUCUGAGUUUUUUCUUCAUUGAGUAGUUUUGGAAUAAUUACGAUUCAUGUUGGUGAUCGUCGAAAAUUCUUAAGAAACAAAUGAUUUUUCUUUGUUCGCAAAACCUAUUUUAAAGAAAAUUUUAAUUGUCAUAUUAUUACAUAGAAAUCAAUAAUUCUCAAUAUUCAUACAAUUAUAAUUAUACGUUAAAAAUAAGGUUUAGAAUGAAAACCAUCUUAUUGACUAACGAGCUAAUUAGCAUUCCUUGUGGGCAAUCCAGCCAAUAAACCAAUAUUUAACACUUUAAACUCUAAAAUCACAGAAAAUACAAUGUUGUUUCAUUUAAUUUACCAAAGUGUAUAUGAGUCAUCGAGUUGUUUGAGAUUUUAUACAUUUCAAAUAAUAUACUUUAUAAUUAUGUUUUUUUAAUUAAUUUUUAAGAGAGAACAGACGUUUUAAGCACAUCUUUCAUGCUUCACCAGAAAAGGAAAUCACAUUUAUUAUAUUUUUCACCACCAACGUUUCUUCUAAUUCCAUCUUGCAAAUGUGAAAAAUAAUACAUGCAGGCACACUUACGUUUUGUCUAUUAAACAUUAAAGAAUUCAUAAUUGUAACUCUAUUUGAUACCUGAAGAAAGUUAAAAUAAUAUAUUUAAUUUCUAUUGGUUGGGAUGGUUUUUGUUACUUUUAUAUUGGAGGGGAUAUAAAAUUGUUUUUUUUUUAGAAAAAUAAUAAUUGGCAGUGCACGACUAGAUUCAUUUUCUCCAAAUGUGACUUAUUUAAUUACUUUUCUCCAAAUCAGUAAUUUACACUUGUAAUUAAGACAUUUAAUCUUAGAUUAAUUAACUCUUCUUGGCGGUGUCAUUUAUUUACACAACAAUACCAACAUCGUUAUUCUAUUUUCUAACAUGAAAUGUUUAAAAUUUUCUUUUAAAUGAAAUUCAUCAUAAAUUGGGUCAUUCAAAUAACAGAAUUAUUUUUACACUGAAUUAGUAUAUAAUAGUUUAUACUCUUUAGCAUAUGCAGAUUACAUUACAGUGAGAUUCUAUUAUCCAAAUUAAUUAUUACUCAUUUUUAUUUUGAGAAAAAAUGAAACUCUUAUUUAUUUUUUUAAAAUUCAAAUGCUACUGUAUGCAUUUUGAAUAUGUUUUUUUGAAAAGAAAUCAUAAAUGUAGAAACAUCCGUCCAGAGCACUCAAUUAAUGCUCAUGUAAAUUUAUACCACAGUUUUCAAAAUCCCAUCCCAUCAAUUAAUAAAUGUGUGAAAAAAUUAGUAUCGUUUUUGUAAAAUUAUUCAAUCUCAAAGUAGUAAUUAGUAGUAUGGUUUUUUCAACUAUAAUCUUUUACUCCCAUAUUCAUAAUAAUAAAUGUUAUUUUUGUGAAGAUAACACUUUCUUUAUGACAAAAAUAACUAUUAUUAUUUUAUUAGGAAAAAAAUACCAGCAGUAAUAAGCUCCUGACCCGCUACUCCCAGUGGCAUAGUCGUUAUAUAUCUCAACAUUUAAGGUCAUUCUCUAACCUUUUUCACUUCCCAAAAA
rnacentral:lncRNA from 1 species